rnacentral:lncRNA from 1 species
AACUAAUCUCGAGGACGGGAUCCUGUGCAGCGGAAGCGAAUGAUGCAGAACAGACUUGAACCUAUGUUGAUCGGAUUAAACCGAUUUAGUUCAUCAAAUUGUUAGGAAAGCUGUUAAUUUGGUAGAGAUUUAUAUAAAAGUUGGAGAUUUUAUUGUUAGAAUUUUUGUUUUGAGCUUAUCACUGUCGGAAAAAACUUUUUAAAUAUUCUCUACAUUGGACGAUAAAGAAUUAAUGAAGAAGAAUGUUAUUUUUUAAAAUGAGAUGUGGUCUCUAAUUUUCGUUCGUAUUUAUGUGUCGACCGGAGCAAGUCCGUAAGGAGCGAGUCCCUUAUCUUUAUCCUUUCGUUUUGCAAUUUCUCCUCCGACUUGAAACCCAGCACCAUUAAUACGCCUGCUGCCAGCACAUCACCGCCAUCUGCUGCCAGCGUCAUCAACACCACCUAUUGCCGUCAAUUGAUGCAUCUGCUGCCAGCACCUUUGACAAUGCCUGCUGAUAGUAGCACCGGCUCCAUCCGCACUUCCUUCAUCUCCCAUUAUUAUUGUCAUCGCUAAGUGUGUCCACCGUCGUUAUCUUCUACCUUUUAUUUAAUUUUUAUUUUUUUUAAUUACGAUUUUUUUAAAGCAUUUUAAAACUUUCAAAAUUUUAAAACGUUUUCAAAAUCAUAAAUUAUAUUUUAGAACCGUCUAAGAAUGUAGGACCUACAUCCCAUCCUGCGUACCUGCGUCACUUUCCAUUACUCCAUCUACAACUACCCACUCCAGCACACCUCCUCAAAAGGAAAAAUUCUAGAAUGCAACGGGUAUAUUGGUGACGUGGUGUACCAAACCAAUCAAAUGUCUCUUUUUAAAAGUAUACGUCCCAUCAGGAUUGCAAAAAAUAUUUUUAUUAUACUUUUGUUUGAAAAGAAGGAAUGUGAUUGGCUUGUUAUUGAUGACGUGGUGCAAGUGUGAUAGUGUAGAAUACCUCCCUCAAAAGGACGUGCUCGUAUCUUUGGAAAUAGUGCAUCUAUAAAUUUGAUAUUUUUUGCUCAUUAGGAAGGGGGAUGAAGCCCAACAUCCAUUUCCAACUAGAUUAAUUACACAAGGCACAACAGUCCUCCAUAAUUAGAUGUUGGAUAAGACCCAGUAACAGAGCCCGAACCGCACCGCCUGCGGCUUUCCAUCCUGACGUUGCCGCAACAACUCUAAUGCCGGCGUCGCUGCGCCUCAACUUACAUGCUGUUGCGGCCUUCACCAACGGCGAUGCUCUUAACUCGUGUGCCGCCGCGGUUCGACUUCUACGUGUCCAACUCGCAUACCGCUGCAGACCAGCAUCAACGCCUUCGACUCGCGCGCCGUCCCAAACUACCAGCGACGAUGUGAUUGAGGCCUCCUACUCUAAUGCUGCCAUGAAAUUAAGCUCGAGCAUUGCCGCGGAGUGCAACUUUGGCAUGCCCAUGGCCUUCAAGACCGACACAACCGUGGGCUAUAUAACUUUGGUGCGCCUACGACCACUGCAUCGAACAGAGUCACGACCUCCAAUUUAGCUGACAUUACGGGUCCCAACCUGAUGUAGAAGUUACCUCUAGUUGAGGCGUCACCAAAGUUGCAAUCUCUAACACUAUGUGUCAGAUCUAUCGCAUGUUUGACGUAAUGCCCAAGACAAAUCUUUGCCUGGGUAUCUACGGGCGCACCAUCGACAAUCAUGGAGGAGCACCGAAACUAUCAAUCUUCUGCUUUGGCGCUUAGCCGUCAACAGAAGAGAAGACCCAGCAAUGUCACGCCCCGAUUUCAUAGUGGAAGCCUGUGGGGACGUCAACAGACUCGCCGAACGGACAGAGUUUUUUCUCUCUGCACGAAGCGACCAACGAGAUAGAAGCAGUAAUAAGGGAAUCAAAGGGUCAACAUUAACGAUUCUAGAGUCCACAACUAAACACAAAGUAUCUGAGUGAUUUAUGUAAAACUAAACUAAACAACUACCACUAUUCAUACAAAUAUACAACCAUACAUUUCAAAAUAAAGAUACAUAAGUAAAGAUCCUGGCUUCACCAGUCCUGAUGUACAUUACAUAAUCUCAAAAUCAAUUAGCUGGUGGUCCUCUAUAUACACAGGUUGGAGAUGCAUGCUACCUAUGGCGUGAUUCUCUUAACUCGAUGAUCCGUUGGUGUAGCUGUAUUUGAAAAGUAAACAAUAAAAAAGUGUGAGAACUACUAGACGGUAGUUUCGUAACAACCACGACCUUCCUACUGGGUCUACUAGAGAUAAGAAUAGGAAAAAAAAAGUAGUAUAGUAUACGAUCAACUAAGCUACAAAGUAUGAUAAAAAAGAAAAAUACUUUUACUAACAUCAUGCCUCUAGACAUAUAUCCUAUCUAUCAUGCUUCUAUAAAAGUAUACUGUCUAUCAUAUCUCUAUACAUGAAAAAUGCGAUAAUAAAGCCGUCUGAUAUAUGCAUCAACUCCAAUAUUGAUAAAUAGGAACGGUACACCGUACAAAGUAAAUAACCAUGCCAUGUAUCCACUAGUGUACUAAUGUUGAGUGUAAGGUGUCACCCGGUCAUAUACAUGCAACCCUAUCAACAUACUGUGACCCAAUCAUAAACUGACCAACUCGUAGGUCACAUAUGUAAGGAACAAAAGACAAAGUGACUAGAAUAUGUAUCAAUGCUGAUACUAAUAAAUAAAUACAGUAAUAAUAUCUAAUCGCAACGACCGAGUCAUAGGUCCGGUCAAGCCUGCGCCUGCCUAGUGUCCAAACCGCAAUCCCGCAGGUGCGCCCGUUAACAUGUAGGCUCUAUCCCUAGCCCGAUCACCACUCCCACAGAUGGGUCGUCAUCCCAAGGGUAAAUAUCUCUGCAAUAACUGGCCAGCAUCAGGAGCGGCACUCGAAGGGGAGCAACCCCUACCGUAUCUAAUAGCAUGUAACUCUAUCAAGCUCAAUGUGGCUCUGUAGGCUAUGGUCUAUGCAAUGAUCAAACAAAUCACAAAUAACCAAUCUGCCUCGGCAUAAUCAUAAAAUGUCAACUAAGUCAUAUAUUACAGUAGUAUAAUCAUAUACCUCUCAAUAUCCAAGAUCUAUCAUAUGAACUAGAGUAUAUAUAAUGCAGAUGAACACUAGAUCUCUUACUAAAUAUGCAUAUGAUGUCCAGGGGUAUUUACUAAAGAUGCAUAUGUUGUCCAAUGGCCCUUCCCAGUCUAACUUAGUGUAUGCAACAUAAUAAACUAAUUGGUAAUUACUAAACUAAAGCAAUUCAACCUAUUGAUCAUAUAAUUAGACAUAGGUUAAUGUUUGCAUGAAUAUACUAUAUAUGUAAUCCAUUUCCUCUAUUUAAUUUCAAACUAAAACAAUUUUCUACGAAUAUAUAACCAUAUACAUACACCUACAAAUGCACCAUAGACAUAUACAUGAUUUAUUGCUCAAUUAAUCUAACAUCAACCAGCGUUCACAUGCAAUAUCUAAAUUUUCACCCUUCACUCACCUAUAUUGCCAUCACCACCCUCAAAGCGUGCAACCUGCAUUCAUAAACAUAUACAAAUAUAUGCAAAAUAGACGUAGAAGGAAGUUCGCUAUUUUCGGCGACACGGAACCCACCUAGAUUGCAAUCCAAAGAUGACAAUGAACAUAGGAGAUGCGAGCUGCUUUGCUGCAGUCUUCCCGGUCCUUACAGCAGCCACAACAUCAAAAAAAAUUCGCUCAAAAAAAUCCCGCAACGAAUCUCACGUGAAAUUAGGGAUGCCAAUGAGUAUGAAUAUCCGAAAUAUUACCCGAAUCCGAACCCGAACGGGGCGGGUUUAUCCGAGCUAAAUGGAUAUGGAUUCGGUUUACAUGGAAAAUAAAAACCCGACGAAUAUGGAUACGGGUAUGGAUUUUGUAUUUACCCGACCCGACACCGAACCCGAACCCGAAUAAAUUAUAUAUAUAUACAUACUUUAUUUUUAUUUAUUUAUAUAAUAUAUAAAAUAUUUAAUAAUUUUUAUCCCUUAGAUCUUAAUUUAACGGUAUGGAUUCUUAAAACCUGCCGGGUCCGGGUCCCGGUUUGGUCGGGUACGAAUAUGGGCAUGGAUUUUUAAAACCCGCCGGGUUCGGGUUCGGGUUCGGGUCCGGAUACGGGUUUUAAUUUGGUUUUCGGGUUCGGGUUCGGGUUCGGGUUCGGAUACGGGUUUUAAUUUGGUUUUUGGGUUCGGGUUCGGGUUUUUAAAAACCCGACCCAAACCCGACCCGUUGACAUCCCUACGUGAAAUCGACUCCUGAUUCACAUACAAAUCAAUACUAUGGACAAAGUAGAAAGUAACCAAGUGCUACUAAGUAGAUAUCUAUAUCUCACAAUGAAGUUCAAGUCUCUUGACUACAUAAAUAUGCGAUUUGGAAUAGAAGAUAAUUAACAUGUAUGUGGAAUUACUCAACAUGUGCUACAUAAGGUAUAUAACAAGGAAUAUGCAAUCAACAUGCAUAUAAUCGAAAUGCCAUGAUUCAUAUCACAAGUACGAGUUCUAAAUGUCAUAAUAAUCAGGGAAUCAACAUCGAUAAAGAAACACUGCAGCCAAAAAAAUUGAAAGUUGCAGUGAAGUUUAUCGACAAGUCUGAUUUAAUCGAUUCAUUUUUAGCUCUAACCGUAAUGGUUUCGCCUCAAAUUUCAGCUGUAGUUAGUUCACAUCCUUAAGAAUAUCUGUUCCCAAUUUCACAAUCUAAUUCAAAACGAUCAAGGAGAAAUUAGAAAACAUAUUACUUGCUGUCCUGCACUGACAUAGGGCUACUAAAACUACUAAAAGCCUAAUUUCUCUUGAAAUAUAACUCCGUUUAGUCUCAAAUUUAUAUAUUAUAAUCUCGACAUCCAUAGGUACUAAUCAGCGAAAUUUCAGAGUUUAAUUCCAUAUAAAACGGAAGAAAUUAAUAGAAGAAAUCUACUGUCAGCACUACUCUAACAGCAGUUUAAGCCAAUCUUUGUAUUCUCUUUUAUAUACCCAUCUAAUAAAGUAAAAUCAAAUUCAAGCCUUAACCAUACACAUCAAAUAAAAUAAAAUCAACUAUUUAGAGCAUCAAAUUCAAGCCUUAACCAUUUACAUCCAUAAAACCCAGCAAGAUAUUUACCUCUAUUACCCAAUCCAUUUUCUUUCAAUUUGUUGCCUAAUCAAAAGUUGGGUUGGCCUCCAAUAAAGCUUUCUUCCAAUUUUGCUAGAAUUUUCCACAAAUUUAUCACAAUUUUGCACCUAUUUGUGUGUGAGAAAGAAAGAAGAGGAUAAGGGAUUUUGAGAGGAGAAGAAAGAAAGAGAAGAUGGUGUCGGUUGGGGAAGGGAGAAAAAUCGGGUUAAUUACACAAGUACGUAGUCCCCAACCUUUGCAGUAAUUUUUAUUGGCCAAUUUGCCUAAAAAAUUCACUUAUUUUUGACUUUUCAAAAUCGGACCACCAUUUUCAUUUUUACAGAUUCGGUUCGUUUUUUCAGCAAACUGACCAAAAUACGCUUAUACUGUUCUCUCUCUCCUCUUUUUUUUCUCUCGUUCUUUUUUUCUUUCUCUUCCCAGAGAGCGGCGGAGACAGAGGCAGAGGCGGAGGUUGAGGCGAAGGCGGCCUGCUUUAGUUUUGUCUGACGCAUCCUUAUCCUCGCUCGCACACCCCCCGCCUUCCUCGCCUCUGACACCGCCGAGGCCGCGCUGCGACUUUUUUUUUUUUCCCCUCUCCGACCCUCCUCCACCGCCACCGACGACGACGACUAUCUCACACUCUCUCGCCUUUCUUACCCUUUCCCUCUCCCUCCUCCUUCACCUCUUCCGCCGCCUUCGACGAUGACACUUCUCCGCCGACAUCGGCGCCGCGGAGGAUUUUUUUUUUUUCCACUCCGACUCUCCUCCACCGUCUCCGACGACGACGCCUCUCUCGCCCUUCCCCACCCUUCUCGUCCUCUCCCUCUCCCUCCUCCUCUGCCGCCUCCGACGACGACGCAUCUUCGCCGACGCCGACACCGCGGAGGUCACUGCGGCACUGCAGCCUCAGAGCGGGGGGUCCUUAGCGGCGUCGUCGCCGGCGUCGUGGCUGUUAGCAGAGAGGGGUGACAAAAAAAAAUAUAGAAGAAGCAAGAAAAAAAAUAAAGAUAAAAAAUUAUAGAAAAAGAAUGAUGAAAAUGAAAUUACAUCGUUAACUGCAACAAAAAAUUAUAAGUUGCACUACUUAAGAUAAAACUGCAGCUUUAAGAUGAAAAUUACACUCUUUGGGAAAUAUUUACACUGUUUCUCCUCUUAUUGUACUCUUUCAGAUAUAAACUGCAUCCAUUAAGAUAAAAGUUAUACUCUUUAAACGAAAGUUGCACUCUUUGAGAGAUAUUUAUACUAUUUCUUCUCUUCUUGUACUUUUUUAGAUGUAACUGCACCCCUUUAAGAGAUAUUUAUACUGUUUUUUCUUUUGUUGCACUGUUUUUUCUUUUGCUGCACUGUUUUUCCUCUUAUUGCACUGUUUCUCCUUUUAAAGGGUGCAGUUUAAGAUAAAAAAUAGUAAAACAAGAGAAGAAAUAGUGCAACAAGAAUAGAAACAGUGCAACAAAAGGAGAAACAGUGCAACAAUAUGAGAAACAAUAUAAAUACUUUUUGAAGGGGUGCAGUUUACAUCUCAAAGAGUGCAAGAAGAAAAACAGUGUAAAUAUCUCUCAAAGAGUGCAACUUUCGUUUAAAGAGUGUAACUUUCAUCUUAAUAGAUGCAGUUUACAUCUGAAAGAGUGCAAUAAGAGAAAAAACAGUGUAAAUAUCUCCCAAAGAGUAUAAUUUUUGUUUAAAGAGUGUAAUUUUUAUCUUAAAGCUGCAGUUUACAUCUUUAGUAGUGCAACUUAUAAUUUUUUUCAGUUAACUAUGCAAUUUCAUCUUCAUCAUUCUUUUUCUAUAAUUUUUUAUCUUUAUUUUUUCUUGUUUCUUUUAUAAUUUUUUUUUCUUGUUUCUUCUAUAAUUUUUUUUUUUGUUACCCCUCUCUGCCAACGGCCACGACGCCGGUGACGACGCUGCUAAGGACUCCCUGCUUCGAGGCUGCAGCGCUGCAGUGACCUUCACGAUGUCGGUGUCGGCAUCGACGCCAGAGAAGAUGCGUCGUCGUUGGAGGCGGCAGAGGAUGAGGAAGAGGGAGAGGACGAGAAGGACGAGGAAGGACAAGAGAGACGUCGGGUCGGAGAUGGUGGAGGAGAGUCGGAGAGGAGAAAAAAAAAAAAGAGUCGCGGCGCGACCUCGGCUUGGUCGGAGGCGUGGAAAGUGGGGUGUGCAGGAGAGGAUAAGGAUGCGCCGGACAAAAUCGAAGCAGGCCGCCUUCGUUCUGUCUUUGCCGCUCUCUGGGAAGAGAAAGAAAAAAAGAACGAAAGAAAAAAAAGAGGAGAGAGAAAAAGGUAUAAGGGUAUUUUGGUCAGUUUGCUGAAAAAUCGGACCGAAUCUGCAAAAACAAAAAAUGUGGCCCGGUUUUGCAACAGCUCAAAAUAAGUGGAUUUUUUAUGCAAAUUGGCCAUUUUUUUUUAAAAGUCGCUAUGUCUCAAUCUUUUUCUGAAUUUUUUUGUUAUUUAUUUUCUAAUCUUGUAGUCUUAUUACAAUUACAUCAUAACUGUAAAAAAAAUAUUAAAAUUAACGGAAUCGCCACAUCAACGUCUAUUUGGCAUCCUUUUGCAUGUUAAGUUAGGUCCCUAAACUUUGCAUGUUUUUCACUUUAAUCCCUAAAAAUAAAAAUUUUAAAUUUUAAAUUUAAAUUAACAAAUAAUAUUAAAAUUAAAAUUUUAAACUAACGAGAAAUUAGAAUUUUGAAUUCGAAUUUAAAACUGAAUUAAAAUUUUGAAUUGAAAUUCAAAUUUUAAAUUUAAAUUUUUAAUUGAAUCUAAAUUUUGAAUUCAAACUUAAAAUUUUGAUUUUAAAAUCAUAUUCAAAAUUUUGAUUUUAAAUUUUAAAUUUGAAUUCAAAAUUUAAAUUUGAAUUUAAGAUUUGAUUUCAAUUAUAAAUUUGAAUUUAAACUUUGAAUUCAAAUACACAUUUUGAAUUUGAAAUUUGAAAUUGAUGUUUGAAAUCAAAUUAGAAUUUAGAAUUCGAAAUGUAAAUUUGAAUUUAAAAUUUAAAAUUUAAAAUCAAAUACAAAAUUGAAAUUUGAAUUCUAAUUUAAAUUUGAAUCCGAAAUCAAAAUUUAAAUUUAAAAUUUAAAUCUUAAAUUAAAAAUCUAUUUUUGAAUUUAUAAAUUUAAUGAGUUAAUUACACCAUUGGUCCCCAAUCUUUGCAUUGUUUCUCAAUUAGAUCCUCAACCUCUUUUUUUUUUUUGCAAUCUGCUGACAUAGUGCCACCGUGGCGCUGACGCGACACCUUUAUGACGCUGAUAUGGCGCCUUCGUGACACUGACAUGGUACUGACGUGAUAUUUUUCGUCAAUUUUAAUAUCUAUUUAACGGACGGGACUUAAUUGUAAUGAAAUCAAGAAAUUAGAAACUUGAUUGCAAAAAAAAAGGUUGGGGAUCAAAUUGAAAAACCGUGUAAAGGUUAGGGACCAUUGGUGCCCACAUCAUAGGCGGAAGAUCAGAAGACCGAUCCCGCCUAACCCGCUUCCACCACACCUUCGCCGCCUUCUCAAGGCAGUGUGUGGCGAGGUGUACCUUGUCCUUCUCCAAGGUGUAUAGGUCCUCGAAGAGUUUCUCCAUGGAGUCGAUCCAUGACUCCACUACCGCCGGUUCCACCAUCCCCCCUUCGAAGAUAGGUGGGUUGAACUUCUUGAAUUGAAUGAGAGCCGCCAACGCGCGCUCCCGCUCCGCCUCUUCCGUCGUACUAUCGGGAUUUGAAGUCCCCGAUCCAGCCGGAAUCGCCGUAACUGGAAUGGCCGCCGCGGCCACACCCUUCGCUACGGUCGGCACCACCGCAGGGGGCGUAGGGGGCUCGGCCUCCACGUGAGCCGUCGCCGCCUGCUGUCGCUCCAAGGCCUCUUAAAGCCGUCGUAUCUGCUCCCCCUGACGCUGAACCAACUCCGCUUGCUGUUGCACUACGCCAAUAAGCGCGGCCAUCUGCUCCCGAAGCUCCCCGUCGCCACCCGCUCCGGGUUGCACAGGAGCCGCACUUGGUUCCUCGGGCAUCGACCUUGUUCGGGGUCGACCACGAGGCAGCAUUGCUUCCUGAAACGAAGCAAUUCACGUUAAUUACUUAACCAACAUACUCGAACUUACCCAAUCCGGCGAAAGCAAAAGUGUAUUUAUUUUUAUUUCCAAGCAUCAUGUAGUUGGCCGCCGAUCACAACACAAGGAAAAUAAAAAACAAAUAUCAACUUAAAACUAGUCCCUAACUAUAUUAGAGACAUACUAACAUCAACCCAAUCAUAAGCUUUCGCUAUGUUUUGUCCAACGUCACUCACGUUCCCAAGAUCCUUAAGGUCUUUCCAUUCCUAAAGGUCUCUAGGUCCAUCCUAUACGUGCACUUUUUGGCUUUUUACACUCUAAUACCAUUAUAUCUGUCACGCCCCGAACCCGGUCCUAUUUGGCCAGUUCGGACCCGUCGAACAGACACCGAACGAACAGAGCCUCUCCUGUCCACCCAAGGCUCAACAACAAGUACAAAUAGAGUAUAAAAUUUGCACAUGCGGAAGUAUACAUAAUGGCUUGCACGAGGGCAAGCAGUAGCCAGAGUGAAAGUACUAUCUACUCAACAUACAAGUAAUAUGAUUCCCUUUUAACCAUAUACAUGCAUACAUCUUUAAACAUUUAGAUUCUUUACAUUCUUUGCAUUAUUUUUUUCUACAACUCAAGUUCUCCAAAAUAUAACUUCUUGCUUUCAAUAUAAAUCCUUUUACAUCAUUCAUGUUCUUUCAUUUAAACGUCUAUAAUCAUCAAAAUACAAAGGAUGAUGUAAGAGGGUAUGCAACUACAAAAUGUAAAGUAUCUCGGGCGGUCUCUGUCUAGGGUGCGAUACCCUUACCGCGAUCAUCCACCGGUUCGCUCGGUCUUGGCUCUGUGGAAAUAGUGGGGUGAGAACUACAACAAAGUUUCCAGUGGGUUCGACCGCCGACCAUGCCGACUUUCCCACUAGGUCUAAAUCAGGCAUAAUAGAAGAAAAAUAGAUAGUAACCAACUAAACAAAUGCAGCUAAUAUGCCUGAACAAUAAACAAUGUUAUGCGCAAUAGAAUGCUCAUGAUGAAUGCAAAAUCACUUUUCGGUUCCCAAUCUCUAGGCUAGCCCGUGGGUUUCGCCCUCAAUAGACUCACCAAUUCAAAUCCCAAGUAUCGGGAAGACUACUAUGCCCGAUGGGACCGUCCUCUGAGGGAUUCCACGUCCCAGUGAUGACAACUCCAGAGCACAUCGCCCCAGGGGGAGCUACCGCCCUCGAGCAAGGACUUACAGGUGAGUAUGAUCAAAUCCUUAACUAUAAGGAUGUCAAGUUCAAUCCAUUCCUUAACUAUAAGGAAGCUAUGCACAUAUGACCCUUAACUCUAAGGUUGUAUGUCAUAAUGUCUCUAUCACACUUUUACUUGCAUUCUUUUCUUUCACUAGUGUCAUGUACACUACUUUGUUCUUGUACUGACACACUCAUGCCACACUUGUUUUCGAAGUGUUCAACUCUAGCAUUCUUGACUCGUCGAUGCCACUCUCUACACUUAUGUCAACAUGAUACAUUUGUUCUCUAAGUUCACUAAGUUCUUGUCAUUUAUUAUGCAUACAUAGGAUUUAUAAAUUCUCACUUUCUUACUAGUAUUUCUAUAGUACAUUGAACUUUGGCAAAUUGCGAAGUUCGAGUGGGGGAAGGCCAAUUGGAAUUAGCCGACAUCUUCUAAAGGGUUUAGAGAAGUUGGUGAACAGGUUUGAGAGUGAUCGGAGCGCGGGAAGCGAGAAAGUGCAUUGCUGUGGAUUUAUUUCACUAUUUUGCAUUGUUGUAUCGGUACAAAUAUGUAUCUGUACCGGUACAACAAGCAGCAGAGGCAGCAGCUACGUGGCAGCAGGCCUAAUUUGGUCUUUUCUCAUCUCUAGCUUAUCUAUAAGCCUCUAGCUCGACCCCUGCCCUUCAGAUAAGGUUGCUGGGACUCUGAACCAAGGGUUUACACCUCUCUUACUUUUUCUCUCUAGGAAGUGUUCUCUCUCUAAGUGGAAUCAAGGGUUUUGGUCCAUUUUCCUCUUCUCUUUUGAUGCUGAUUGCUUUGGGAGGUCAAGGAGCUAUUACAGAAGGUGAAGAAGGUGUCUUGGGGCGAAUUUCGCAGCUCCCUUGCAGCAGGUAGCUGAGGGAAAGGUUGCUAAGGUAACAACUUAAUUAAUUUAAGAUUUGAUGUGUUGGUGAUAGAGUUAAGUGUGAUUUUGAGUUCUUGUAACCAGCAGCAGUGGGGGAGAGAUUUUGGCAGCUCGGGAAGGGGGCUGUGGCUGCGGAGCUUCAAUCCGAAGCUAGGGGANAUUUCGCAGCUCCCUUGCAGCAGGUAGCUGAGGGAAAGGUUGCUAAGGUAACAACUUAAUUAAUUUAAGAUUUGAUGUGUUGGUGAUAGAGUUAAGUGUGAUUUUGAGUUCUUGUAACCAGCAGGAGUGGGGGAGAGAUUUUGGCAGCUCGGGAAGGGGGCUGUGGCUGCGGAGUUUCAAUCCGAAGCUAGGGGAAGGUACUACCAAAGCUGUGAGAAGGUAAUUGAGUGCUUAGACGCAUAAUUGAUGCUAUAUAAGUUAUAAAUAUGAAGUAUGAAUGCUGAUUUUGGGAGUUUGUGUUCUCAGCAGCUGGAAUCUUCACUUUAAACUGAGUAUUACAAUCUUAUGAGCUGAUUUUGAAUGUAAUUUAACCAGAGGAAAGUGAGAAUUCAAGUUGGGAAUCUACGCAAGCUGAAUUCCAGCAUAUUCUAAGAAAUCGCAUAGGUGUACUAACACUGUUUGAGCAGUGUUCGCAGCAGGUUUGCCAAAGGCUAUCGGAUUGUUCUCGGCUGAUAUUUAGGAGCUUUUGGAGGUUAAGGUGAGUACCUUAACCUGAACCAAAGCAGGGGUUCAAGCUACAGCCGUGUGCAAGGUGAGAUGUUGCUGAAAUUAGAUGUUUUGGUAAUUGUCUCAAUGCAGUUUUCUAACUAGUUCGCAGCAGGUGCGAAGAUCACUUUGGGCUGAACAUUGAGCCCCUUUUUGGGCUGAAUUAAACUGAGUUUGGGAGUACUUCAACCUGAAUUAAGCAGAGGUUUAGUUUCAGUCUAAGCCUAGGUGAGGAUUUAGUCUAUUUUCUAUGAUUAUGUGAAGUUUUACCAUUGGUAUAGAAGUCAGCUCUUAGCUGAUUUCGGAUUUGAUGUUAGGGGAAUUGAAGGCUUCGGAUUUCCUACAAAAGUAAGUUCGACAAGGAUCGUCAAGUAGUAGGUGGGUUUGACCUUACCAGAACAAGUGAAACCCCUAUGUUCUAUAUGAUACUAUAGAAUUACUUGGAUGUGUAACUUUAUGAAUAAGUACUCAACAUCAGGAAUUGAAUGCUAUAAACACAUUGGUUUAUUGAGUGAAAUGGAACUUUUAUAAUGUGAAUAGAAGCAUGAGUAAUAGUAAUGAUGCUUAGUCUAAAUAUCUGGACCUUACAUGGCAUAGGUACAUAUGCAUUACUUUCUUAACUUGUUGAGUCCAGUGGAUAUUAGCCUUUUCACUAUGUUUAGAUUCCGACCUAUUGGUCGAGAGUGAGAACCUUACAUGUUAUGGUAUGAUUAUCUAAAACUAUUAGACUAUGGAUUAUGCUUGCUUGCCAUUGUGCUCAUUCGCACAUGCUUGUGAGAGUCGCGCCCCAGAAGCCGGCACUCCGGAGUUGGCCUACGCGACAGAUUGCUCGCCCGUGCGGGAUUGGGUGCCGAAGUGGAUUGCCGUGGGGAGUGUAUACUACCACGGGGCCAUUAGGCGCGGCGCAAGCUGUACUACCUUGAGUAGGUCGUUACGAAUUAAACUAAAGUACUAACGGAUAGUAAUAUAUGAUUACCCUUAAUCAAUGUACAGUUACACACUUACAUGACAUGUUUAUGUUCAUAGCAACUACCUUACUUGCUUCUACUUGAUUGAUACAUCUGAUAGUAUGAUACAUGUUCAUAGUUUAUUAUCAUUGAUAGAUCUAGCAUGCAAUAACUAUUUUUUUUUUACUUUUCAAUUAGUACAUCUUGAGCCUAGUGGUGUAAUUCGCUGAGGCUGGCGGCUUACCCACUGGAACCUAUUGUUUAAUAGUUUUCACGCUCUCUUUAUUAUUGCUUUCACAGAGCCAUCCACUACGGAAGAGGUUAGGGAUCGCGGCAAGGGAGUCGCGUCUAGCUAGAGAUAGCGUGGAGCCCUACUAGGUGAUCACCUCGCUACCUGGACAUAUGGACGAGAGUGAUGUGUACCCUAUGUAGAGAGACUACCAUUUCUGUAUAUAUAGUUUUGGGUGACUCUAUGAUGUAUAUUUGUUUAGAACAGUGGAUUUACAGUUUUGGGUUUUAUCUUUUGUUGAGCUUUGUAGGGUUAUACUUACUUUUCUCUAGUAAUAGUACAGUUGAUAUAUAUAUAUAUAUAUAUAUAUAUAUAUAUAUAUAUAUAUAUAUACUUUGCUCUGAUAUCAGGUUAUAAUCUUCUUGUAAUUACUACUUUUCUGACAUGAUUUCUGUAGACGUCUUAUAUACUGCAGGUAUCUGACGGGUCUGUGCAUGUACCGGGUAUGCUUCCGUUAGGACCCGGGCGUGACAGAUUAUAGUGGUAUCGGAGCCUAGGGUUGAGUCUUAGUGGACCUAGUAAACCUUAGGCUGGUUGGACUAUAGGAAAUAGGCUCGCGAGAGACGAGGUCUAUUUAAUUUUAAAGCGAAAGUAUUUCGAUUGGGUAUUUUAUAAACUCCGAAUAGGAGGAGUUUAAUUGAAAGGUGCAACUACUAACUUUGUAGAGAGCCACGCUGGCGGCCGACAACGUUACAUCGGAAGUUAGUGGGUGGCACAUUUCAUUACUUUCGCCUGAUUGGGUGGUUAAGGUAUUGAGUGGGGUUUCGAUAGUGUGAGUUUUAUUAACUUACGCUUAUUAUGUUUGUUGCAGUUUAAUAUGCCUACAACUCGUUCUAUGGCUACUGGAGCGGUCGAGGCAGCUGAUGCGGAGGAAGUGGAGACCUCCGCUACCUCCGGAUCUAGUGAGGUCCGUGAGUUGCAGGAUCAGCUUGCGGUGUUGACAGAUUUGGUGACACAGCAGGCAGCGGCAGUGCGACAACAGAUGGAUGCUGCACGCCGACAGGAGGAAAGAAUGAAGCGAUUGGAGGAUUUGUUACUACGGCAGAUGACUGAUAGAGGGUUAUCAGAUUCUACCCCGCGAGUACCCGAGGGGGAUACGGCUUGGAGAGCACAGUCACCAGUACCAAAUACCUCACCAGCAGCGCCGAGGGUAGAGGUUCGACAGGAGGCAGUGGUACCACCGCCAGUGCCUGUGACCGUGGCGGGGACAGUGUUACCGGAGAUGGUAGGGGCCGAGGAGCGAGAGCAGAUGAUGGAACGCCUAAAUGAAUUUCGUCGUUGCAAUCCCCGUAUCUUCGACUGCGAGAAAGCUGAUCACUGGGUGGUUGAGAAAUGGUUGAUGCGCAUGAAAAUGUUACUUUAUGAUACUUUUGUUGAGGAGUGCGACCGGGUCUGGUUCGCAACACACCAUCUGGAUGGCGAGGCUUACAGGUGGUGGUUGGAUAUCCGAGAGGAUCCCCGUACUGACUUGUCUGCGAUCACUUGGAAGAGGUUUAAGGAGUUGCUGUUGACGACCUACUUCCCACAGAGUGUAAAGAGACAGAUGGAGAGGGAUCUGAGAAAUCUGAGGCAGGGGGACAAGACAGUGGCUGAAUAUGAGCGAGAGUUUUCUCGAUUACUGCAUUGUGUCCCUUUUGUGGUUCGAGAUGAUGAGGAUAAGGCCCGUAUUUUUGAGGUGGGUUUGCGACCUGCGAUCUUCAGAUUGGUCCAGGCGUCAAACCUCUCCACUUACCGGGAUGUAGUGAACAGAGCAUUGAUCGUUGAGAAAGGGGCGGAGAUUAUGAAAGAAAAGGAAAUGAUGGAUCGAAGCAAAGAAAAGAGGCCUGGGGCUGAGAGUAGUGGGCAGCAGCCUUUCAGGAGACCGCUGAAGUACCCGAGAGGCCAGCCGAGUCAGUCGAGGGGGCGAGGUUCUUCUGCACCCCGUGGAGCACUCGAGCGUCGUCGGCCGCCACGUUGCGUGAUCUGUAGUAGACCCCACUUUCCACCGCAGUGUCCACAACGUGGGAGCAAGUGCUUUCUUUGUGGUCAGGAGGGCCACUUUCAUUCUGAGUGCCCGAGGGGUUCUUCACCAGCACUAUCAUCAGCAUCAGCACCUGCAUCCUCAACUACGAGUCAGGGGACUCCGUCAGCAUCGUAUCAGUCUAGACGACCACCUGGACAACGACAGUCUGAGAGUUCUCGACAGGGUUCGAGUGGGCGUAUGUAUGCCGCCCAGAUGGAGGAGGCCGCAGCAGCAGAGGAGGUCGUAGCAGGUAUUAUUAUGAUUCACGAUGUUCGUGUUCGUGCAUUAUUUGAUACUGGUGCUUCGCAUUCUUUUAUUGAUCGGCUGUUUGCCGAGUUGCAUAGCAUUCAAUUAGUACCCACUUUGCAUCCGGGACGAGUGAUCGUGCCCGACCAUACCCUGGAUAUUCGUGAGUAUUACCCUCGUUGCCCAGUUCGGGUAGGCGACUGGAUUAUGCCAGCGAACUUAUUAGUACUGCACAAACUAGGUGAGUUUGAUGUAGUAUUGGGUAUGAAUUGGUUGAUACAGUACUAUGCUACUAUAGAUUGCACGAACAGAACGGUAACCUUUCGGGAACCGGAUCAACAGGAAUUUGUAUACAGGGGAUGUCAGAGUUUAUUGUUCGCAACGACAAUUAGUUCUUCGCGAGCACGACAGUUGAUACGGAGGGGUUGCGUGGCCUAUUUGGCUAAUAUUUUUGUCAGUGACGGAGGAGUGGCCAGUAUUGAUAACAUCCCGGUAGUACGGGAGUUUCAUGAUGUGUUUCCAGCUGAGUUACUAGGUAUGCCGCCUGAUAGGGAGGUUGAGUUUGUGGUAGAUCUUGUUCCUGGGACUACCCCAAUCUCAAAAGCACCCUAUCGAAUGGCACCUGCGGAGUUGAAGGAGCUAAAGGCACAGUUACAGGAUAUUCUGGAUAAAGGUUUCAUUCGACCGAGUAUAUCACCUUGGGGAGCACCCGUGUUGUUUGUUAAGAAGAAAGAUGGAUCCUUUCGAUUGUGUAUCGAUUAUCGUGAAAUUAAUAAAGUCACAAUCAAGAAUAAGUAUCCGCUACCACGGAUUGAUGAUUUAUUUGACCAGCUCCAAGGAUCAAAAGUGUACUCCAAGAUUGAUUUGCAAUCUGGAUAUCAUCAGCUGAAGAUCAAACCUGAAGAUGUUUCUAAGAUUGCUUUCAGAACACGGUAUGGGCAUUAUGAAUUCACAGUUAUACCAUUUGAACUGACGAAUGCCCCAGCAGCUUUUAUGGAUUUAAUGAACCGUAUCUGCAAGCCUUAUUUGGACAGAUUUGUGGUAGUAUUCAUUGAUGAUAUUUUGAUCUAUUCUCGAAGCGACGAGGAGCAUGAAAACCAUUUGAGAUUGGUGUUGCAAGUCCUUCGGGAAAAGAAGUUGUUUGCAAAAUUAAAGAAAUGUGAAUUUUGGCUGCAAGAGGUGGCAUUUCUAGGACAUGUGAUUUCAGAAAUCGGGAUUGCUGUGGAUCCCAAGAAAAUUGAAGCAAUCAAGGAAUGGCCUAGACCGGCCAGUGAAGCCGAGAUUCGGAGUUUUCUCGGUUUAGCAGGAUACUACCGACGAUUUGUGGAGGGAUUUGCUAAAAUGUCUACUCCACUUACCCGACUUACACACAAAGGAGCUAAGUUUGUGUGGAAUGAAGUAUGUGAAAGAAGCUUUCAGGAGCUAAAGGAACGAUUGACUACCGCCCCGAUCUUGGCGCUACCUGUUACCGGAGUGGAUUAUGUGAUUUACAGCGACGCAUCACUGAAUGGAUUAGGGUGUGUUCUAAUGCAAAAUGGAAAGGUAAUUGCAUAUGCAGCUCGUCAGCUAAAAGAUUAUGAAAAGAACUACCCUACACACGAUCUAGAGUUAGCAGCUGUAGUUUUUGCUCUAAAGCUAUGGCAUUACUAUUUGUACGGCGAGCGGUGCGAGAUAUAUACAGAUCAUAAAAGCUUAAAGUAUCUGUUUACUCAGAAGGAACUAAACUUGAGACAACGCAGAUGGUUAGAGUUGCUCAAGGAUUAUGAUUUGACUAUUCUUUAUCACCCAGGGAAACCAAAUGUUGUAGUAGAUGCUUUAAAUAGAAAAUCGACGGAAAAUUUGGUAAUGUCGAUAACCUCGCAACCACCUUUGGUAAAGGAAAUGGAACAGUUGAAGUUGGAAGUUGUAGCUCCUGACACACCUUGGCGGCUUAUGUCCUUGAUUGUGCAACCUACUAUAAUUGAGAGAAUUAAAGAAGAGCAAGUACAAGAUGAAUUUCUUCAAAGGAUUCGCGCCAAGAUUACUGGUGAUUAUGUUGGUGAAUUUCAAGUAGAUAAACAAGGAUUAUUAAAAUUCUGCAAUAGACUUUGUGUACCCGCAGAUUCAAAACUUAAAGAGGAAAUUUUUACAGAAGCACAUCGGGCGCCCUAUGCUUUACAUCCGGGAAGUACAAAGAUGUAUAAGGAUUUGAAAUUGACUUAUUAGUGGCCUGGGAUGAAAAAGGAGGUUGCAGAAUUUGUAGCUAAUGUUUAACCUGUCAGCAGGUCAAGGCUGAACAUCAACUUCUUGCGGGAAAGCUUUAAGGUUUACCUAUACCAGUAUGGAAGUAGGAAAGGAUUACUAUGGAUUUCAUUGUAGGGUUGCCUCACUCGCAAGCGGAUCAUGAUGCGAUUUGGGUAAUUGUGGAUAGAUUAACCAAAUCUGCCCACUUCAUUUCGAUUCAUACAGUUUGGUCAGGAGAGAGACUCGCACAAGUGUACCUAGAUGAAAUUGUGCGAUUACAUGGGGUACCUGCUUCUAUUGUAUCAGAUCGAGACCCACGAUUUGUAUCACAUUUCUGGAGGAGCUUACAAGAGACUCUGGGUACCCGAUUGGUUUUUAGUACUGCUUUCUACCCUCAGAGUGACGGACAGACCGAGCGCACUAUUCAGACCCUCGAGGAUAUGUUGCGUGCGUGUGUGAUGGAUUUUCAAGGCGGUUGGCCAGAAUUUCUAUCUAUGGCAGAAUUUGCUUAUAACACUAGUUAUCAAGCAAGUAUUAAAAUGACACCGUUUGAAGCCCUCUAUGGAAGAAAAUGCAGAUCACCACUUCAUUGGAGUAAAGUAGGUCAGACGUUAACCUUGGGUCCUGAUGUCUUGCAGGAAGCCGAAUCUAAAGUUCGAUUUGUACGAGAAAGGUUGGUGACCGCACAAAGUCGACAGAAAAGUUAUGCUGAUAAACGUCGACGGGAAUUGGAAUUCCAAGUGGGAGAUCAUGUAUUUUUGAAAGUGUCGCCGACAAAAGGAGUGAAGAGGUUUGGUAUUCGAGGAAAUUUAAGGCCUCGAUUCAUUGGACCUUAUGAAGUAUUGGAGCGGAUCGGGCCAGUAGCGUAUCGGCUGGUAUUACCACCAAACCUAUCUAGCGUGCAUAAUGUGUUUCAUGUAUCUACACUGCAGAAGUAUAUAUUUGAUCCGACUCACAUUCUGGAAAGUACUCCAAUAGAACUACGGGAGGAUUUGAGCUUUGAAGAGCAACCUAUAAAAAUUCUAACUCGGGAAGUAAAACAACUCCGAAAUCGCGAGAUCCCUUAUGUAAAGGUGCUUUGGAGCAACCAUGAUGAACGUGAAGCAACCUGGGAAUUAGAAAAUGCGAUGCAGGAGCACUAUCCUCAUCUUUUCUAAAGAGUACUCGAGGUAAUGUUUCUCGUUUCGCGGACGAAACUCCUUUUUAGGAAGGGUGAAUGUAGUACACUGAACUUUGGCAAAUUGCAAAGUUCGAGUGGGGGAAGGCCAAUUGGAAUUAGCCGACAUCUUCUAAAGGGUUUAGAGAAGUUGGUGAACAGGUUUGAGAGUGAUCGGAGGGCGGGAAGCGAGAAAGUGCAUCGUUGUGGCUUUAUUUCACUAUUUUGCAUUGUUGUACCGGUACAAAUAUGUAUCUGUAUCGGUACAACAAGCAGCAGAGGCAGCAGCUGUGUGGCAGCAGGCCUAAUUUGGUCUUUUCUCUUCUCUAACUUAUCUAUAAGCCUCUAGCUCGACCCGUGCCCUUCAGAUAAGGUUGCUGGGACUCUGUACCAAGGAUUUACACCUCUCUUACUUUCUCUCUCUAGGAAGUGUUCUCUCUCUAAGUGGAAUCAAGGGUUUUGGUCUAUUUUCCUCUCCUCUUUUGAUGCUAAUUGCUUUGGGAGGUCAAGGAGCUAUUACAGAAGGUGAAGAAGGUGUCUUGGGGUGGAUUUCGCAGCUCCCUUGCAGCAGGUAGCUGAGGGAAAGGUUGCUAAGGUAACAACUUAAUUAAUUUAAGAUUUGAUGUGUUGGUGAUAGAGUUAGGUGUGAUUUUGAGUUCUUGUAACUAGCAGGAGUGGGGGAGAGAUUUUGGCAGCUCGGGAAGGGGGCUGUGACUGUGGAGGUUCAAUCCGAAGCUAGGGGAAGGUACUACCAAAGCUGCGAGAAGGUAAUUGAGUACUUAGACGCAUAAUUGGUGCGAUAGAAGUUAUAAGUAUGAAGUAUGAAUGCUGAUUUUGGGAGUUUGUGUUCUCAGCAGCUGGAAUCUUCACUUUAAACUGAGUAUUACAAUCUUAUGAGCUGAUUUGGAAUGUAAUUUAACCAGAGGGAAGUGAGAAUUCAGGUUAGGAAUCUAUGCAAGCUGAAUUUCAGCAUAUUUUAAGGAAUCGCAUAGGUGUACUAACACUGUUUGAGUAGUGUUCGCAGCAAGUUUGCCAAAGGCUAUCGGAUUGUUCUCGGCUAAUAUUUAGGAGCUUUUGGGGGUUAAGGUGAGUACCUUAACAUGAACCAAAGCAGGGGUUCAAGCUACAGUCGUGUGUAAGGUGAGAUGUUGCUGAAAUUAGAUGUGUUGGUAAUUGUUUCAAUACAGUUUUCUCACUAGUUCGCAGUAGGUGCGGAGAUCACUUUGGGCUAAACAUUGAGCCCUUUUUGGGCUGAAUUAAACUGAGUUUGGGAGUACUUCAACCUGAAUUAAGCAGAGGUUUAGUUUCAGUCUAAGCCUAGGUGAGGAUUUAGUCUAUUUUCUAUGAUUAUGUGAAGUUUUACCAUUGGUAUAGAAGUCAACUCUUAGCUGAUUUCGGAUUUGAUGUUAGGAAAAUUGAAGGCUUCGGAUUUCUUGCGAAAGUAAGUUUGACAAGGAUCGUCAAGUAAUAGGUGGAUCUAACCUUACCAGAGCAAGUGAAACCCCUAUGUUCUAUAUGAUACUAUAGAAUUACUUGGAUGUGUAAUUUUAUGAAUAAGUACUCAACAUCGGGUAUUGAAUGCUAUAAUCACAUUGGUUUAUUGAGUGAAUGGAACUUUUAUAAUGCGAAUAGAAGCAAGAGUAAUAGUAAUGAUACUUAGUCUAAAUAUCUGGACCUUACAUGACAUAGGUACAUAUGCAUUACUUCCAUAACUUGUUGAAUCCAGUGGAUAUAAGCCUUUUCACUAUGUUUAGAUUCCGACCUAUGGGUCGAGUAUGAGAACCUUACAUGUUAUGGUAUGAUUAUCUAAAACUGUUAGACUAUGGAUUAGGCUUACUUGCCAUUGUGCUCAUUCGCACAUGCUUGUGAGGGUCGCUCCCCACAAGCCAGCACUCCGGAGUUGGCCUACGCGACAGAUUGCUCGCCAUGUGGGAUUGGGUGCCGAAGUGGAUUGCCGUGGGGAGUGUAUACUAUUACGGGGCCAUUAGGCGCGGCGCAAGCUGGACUACCCCGUGUAGAUCCAUGUGACUUAAAUUAAACUACUAACUGACAGUAAUAAAGGGUCACCAUUAAUUGGUGUGCAGCACUCACUUACAUGACAUGUUUAUGCUUAUAGUACUCACAUUAUUUGCUUCUAAUUAGUUGAUACAUUGAGAUUAUAAUUACAUGUUCAUCGCUAAUUAUCAUUGUUAUAUCUAGCAUGCUAUAACUGUUUUUACUUUUCCUGUAGUACAUCAUGAGCCUAGUGGUAUAAUUCGCCGAGGCGGACGGCUUACCCACCGGAAAGUAUUGUUUAAUAGUUCUCACGUCCUCUUUGUUGUUGUUUUUACAGAGCCAUCCUCUACGGGAGAGGCUAGGGAUCGCUGCAAGGGAGUCGCGUCUAGCUAAACGUAGCGUGUAGUCCUGAUAGGUGAUCACCUCGCUAUUUUGAGUUGCUGACGAGGUUACCCAUACAUAGAGAGACUACCAUUGUAUUUAGUUCUUGUAAGGUGACAUGUGUGAUGUAUAUAGUGGUUUAGAGUGAUGUAUUUACAGCUUUUGGGUUUCUAUCUCUUGUUGAUUUGUCUGGGAUUUGUACUUAUUUUUCUCCUGUUAGUAGUACUAUUAGUUUAUAUGUUGCUCUGAUAUCACGUUAAAAUCUCUUUAUAAUUGUUCUUGUCCUAACAUGAUUUUAUAGACGUCUUAUAUACUACAGGUAUAUGACGGGUCUGUGCAUGUACCGGGUAUGCUUCAGCUGGUAUCCGGGCGUGNUAUAUAUAUAUAUAUAUAUAUAUAUAUAUAUAUAUAUAUAUAUAUAUAUAUAUACUUUGCUCUGAUAUCAGGUUAUAAUCUUCUUGUAAUUACUACUUUUCUGACAUGAUUUCUGUAGACGUCUUAUAUACUGCAGGUAUAUGAUGGGUCUGUGCAUGUACCGGGUAUGCUUCCGCUGGUACCCGAGCGUGACAAUUUCCCAUGCAUUUAUACUCACAACAUGCAAUAAGAAGCUCACAAGUAACCCUACUAUGCAAUAUGCUCAAUACAUACAUAUGCUCAAAUAUGACACUUUAGACAUAAAAGGAAUUUCGAGGUCUUCGGUAUGCACCACCCACCUUAGUUAGUUGUAGGGAUGCUACGGUUCAAUUCUUGAAAUUUUUGGGCUCCUAUUCCGUGUGUUGUGGCUAUCUGUACCCAAAAUAAGCCAAAUUAGGCUUUUUAUUCAAUAUCUCUACUUAGACCUUUUCGUUUCGCCGAACCGAGCGCUCCAACGCAUCGGAAAUAUCUCUAAUUAGGUUUUCACAAGGUCAAUUUGCCUCGCAAACGAUCGGAGGCAAAAGCCCCAAAUUUGGUGCCCUAAUGUUGCCAUUUGCUCCAACCUAGAUUUUGAUCUCUAGAACAAGCAAAAGAGAGCUUGUUGAACCUCUAGGAACUCUUUUAGAACCUUUUCUAAGCCUUUUAAACCAUUUCUAGGGCAUCUACUAUGAACCCUAGAUGAUCACUAUGAGAGCACAUAAAGCUACCAUGGAUUUUCAUAGAGUUCAUGCCUCAAGAGAGUUUCUACACUUGUAGAAGCUCCAAAACCAAAAGAUCUAGGGCUCAAAUCCAAACCCUAACCUUAUUCUCACAACAGACCUCACCUUAGCCACAAGCUCUCCAAUGUCCACCUUGUAGGAGAGUCCCCAAGCUUUCAAAAGUUCCAAGUCUCCCAAGUUUUUCUUUCAAAUCCCCUCCUCCACCACCUUGAAAGAGAGUUCUAGAGAGAGAAAGGGAGAAAAUGAGGGAGAGAGGUGUGUUGGCUGUGAAAGAGAGAGGGGAGGAGUGUUUGGGGUAUUAUUAUGUUGUAACAAUUACAAUAAAACCCUCCCUUUUCUCUAAUUUGCAGCAGACCUCAAGUUGCUGCCAGACCGAAAGUGUACCGGUACAGGGUAGGGUGUUACCGGUUACAUGAUCGCGCAGAGGCAAAUCCGAGAGCUGCUGUUCGGAUUUUUACAAAGUGUACCGGUAAACAUCUGGGCUGUACCGGUACACUUCUGCGCAGAACCAAACUCGAGAGCUCUCCCUCUUGGUCAGCAAUGUUGUACCGGUACAACAUCGAUGUUGUACUGGUACACUUUGCCCAGACUGCAAUUUUUUGCAUCUUUUUGAUUCUAUUUCGCGCCGAUCGAUGCUAAAACCUUUCUAACCUUUUUGGAACUCAUUUUUAACCCUUCCAACAUUUGUUGGAAUAUUAAUUGGAAAUUGCCCAACUAAUCCUUUCGCACACUUUAGUCAAUUUGGCUAAAAUUCGAUAUUUUCUACCGAAGUUUCGGUACGUUACAUCAUGCCUCUACGAUGUUUCUAAUCUUGCAAGAAGCUCAAAACUCUAAAACUUAGGGUAGAAAUCCAAACCCUAGAACCAAUCUUACAUAACAACUCACCUUAGCCCAAUGCACUCCCAAGUCCACCUUGUAGGAGAGCUUCUAGAUCUUCCAAUCCUCCAAAUCCUCCUCCAAAACCUUCUCCUCCUUCUCCUGCUAGCUUUUGAAGAUGAUCUCUAGAGAGAGAAAGAGGGAAAUGAGAGAGAGAGGGGAUUUGCUGUGUAAAACAGGUGGGAGGGGUGUGUUUGGUCAUUUAUAGGUUGCAACAAUAGCAACCAAGCCCCCUAAAAAUCCAUAAUUGCAGCAGACCCAUUUUUGCUACGGGGCCCAAAGUGUACCGGUACACGUGUCCCUGUCACCGGUACAUUUUCUGCGCAGAGGCAAACCCGAGAGCAACUCUCUGCGGGUUCGCAGCAUUUGUACCGGUACAAACCAAUUUGUACCGGUACAAAUCCGGCCUUUCUCAAACCCAAGAGCUUUUUCCCCUCGGUCAGCACUAUUGUACCGGUACAACCCUGUAUCUGUACCGGUACAAAACAAGGAUUAAAGUGCCGCCCGUGCCGUACGGCACGGGGGCGUGCUGUACCGUGCCCCCAAGAAGGGGGCACGGUACAGGGGGGGUCUCGGACCCCUUCUCUGUCUCGCGGCACGCACCUGUGUGCCGCUCGAGACAAAGCACGGUAUAGGGGGGGGUCUCGAGCAAAUUUUUAAUUGACAUAGGCGAUCCAUACCUGUCGGCCCGAGCACCUGUUGGCCCGAGCCCUCCGCUUCCACCACAGACAUCUAUUUUUUCUUCACAAAAUAUUUUAUCAAAAUUUGUCGCACCACGAAACUUUCGAUGAAUCAAAGAAACAAAAAUCGAUUUCCUAAACAAAUUUUGAUCAGAUAUUUUUAAAAAGAAUAAAAAAACAAAAAAUAUAGAUGUAAUAUUGGGAAUAUAUGAAUUUCUCACAAUACCAGCAAUACUUAUAUCAAUAUUGUCAAAUAAAUCUUGUAUUUGCAGAUAACAAUAUGCCAUAUGAUCCAGCGCGACGAUCUAUGUGAAAUUAAGCAGUCAUCUCUAUGUAAAUAUGUAAAUUUAAAUAAUUAUUGUACUGUGAAUUUUAUUAUUAUAUUUUAAUUUCUAUUCUACAUCAGGUAUAGUUGUAUUUUACUUACAAAAAGCUUUCAUGCAUGUUAAUUGAUGAGUAUAGUAAGAUAUACAUAGUAAAUAUUUAUAUUAUUUUGUUUAAAUCUUUCAAAAUAAUAUUAUAAGAGUUUAUUGGAACCAAAAAAGCUAAAAUAAGUCCGUGCCAAAGCGUGCCAGUAGGAGGUCAUGCGUAUCUGUCGGCACGCAAGCGUGCCACGUGUCGGCACGCAAGCGUGCCCGUGCCGUACCGUACCGUGCCAGGGACGUAACGGCACGCCCCCAUUCCACAGCACUUUAAACCUUGGUACAAAAUGUGCAGACUUCUGUUCUUCGCGUUGUUUCGAGUCUACUCCGCACCGAACAACGCUAAAACCCUUCUAACUCUUCUAAACUCAUUACUAACCUUUCCAACAAGGUUGGAAUGCUAAUUGGAACUUAUUCAAUUACUUCUCUUGGAUGCUUUAGUCAAUUUGGCUAAAGCCCAAUAUCCUCUACCGAGGUUUCGAUAUAUUACAAUUUGUGACCUCUUGAUCGUAAGGUAAAUGAUGUCGAAAAAUUAUAAAAUUUGAUUUCGAGAAGUUUUAAAUGCUGUAAAUAACGUUUAACGGUAUGGAUCGUCGAUUCAGAAGUUCUAUCAUUGAAAAAAUUUGAAAUUUGGUUUCUAGAUACUUCAAGUGGUAUAGAUCAUGUUCAAGGGUGCUGAUCGUCGAUUUGGAGGCUCUAUCAUCGAAAACAGAUGGGUGGCAACGGAGUCCGUUUGCUAUCGAUAGCAUUCCACCUCAACUCUCUCUCUCUCUCUCUCUCUCUCUAUAUAUAUAUAUAUAUAUAUAUAUAUAUAUAUAUAUAUAGGCUGGAAUACUAUUAAUAGUACCAAUGACUUGAUGCUAUUAAGUUUUUCGCCCUUGGAUUAAAUGAUGUAUGGUUAGGAUGAUGUGGACCCCCUAAGGUUGAGUGGGUGGUUGGUUGAAUAGUAUAAUCGAACGGAUGAAAAUGAUAAAAGAGGUAAAUCUAACGGCAGAAAAUUUGAUAGCACCAAAUGCUUCGUGCUAUCGAUAGUAUCCCAGCCGGACUAUAUAUAUAUAUAGAGUCCGGCUAUGGUGCUUGUAAAAGCACCAAGCACUUGGUGCUUGUAAAUUUUUUACCAUUAGAUUUACCCUUUGAUCAUUUCUCAUAACGUUAGAUUAUAUUCUUCAUCAAUCCGACCCACCUCAACACAGUGGGGCCCACAUCAUCCCACAUCAUCACUAACAGCACAUCUUCCUUAAUCCAAGGCCGAAAAAAUACAAACACCUAAUGACUUGUACUUUAAAACAUAGAGAGCUCAAUUCUCUAUAUAUAAUAUUAAUAAGAAUAGGAAUUCUUCUCUAUAAUAAUCUAUAGAUAGAGAGAGAAUUCCUCAAUUCUAUAUAUAUAUAAUAGAGGAAUUGAGCUCCUAUAUGCUUUAAAAAAGUACCAAUUCAUUGGUGCUUUAAGUUUUCGGCCCUUGCAUUAAGGAAUGUCGGUUAGGAUGAUGGCCCCCUAGGUUGAGUGGGUGGUGGUUGAAUAGUAUAACCUAACGGAAAAAAUUGAUCAAAGGCAGAGAUCUAACAGUAAAAAAUAACAACACAAGUGCUUGGUGGCUUUUAUAAGCACAUCAGAACCAAUAUAGAGUCCUGCUGGGAUACAUUGAUAGCACUAAAGAAUUAGUGCUAUCGAGUUUUCCACCGUUAGAUUAACCCUUUGAUUAUUUUUAACCCGUUAAUUAUACUAUUCAACAACAUUACUCAACCCUAGGGGCCCACAUAUCCUAACCGCACAUUUUCUCAAUCCAAGAUUAAAAACUAAUACACAAUAGUUUGGCCUAUUGAUAGUAUUCAGGCCUAGUUCUAACGGUGGAAAACUCGAUAGCACCAGUCCUGGUGCUAUCGAUAGUAUCCUAGUCGGACUCUCUCUCUCUCUCUCCUCUCUCCUCUCUCUCUCUCUCUCUCUCUCUAUAUAUAUAUAUAUAUAUAUAUAUAUAUAUAUAUAUAUAUAUCAAUUCGGGUUUGAGUUUGGUAUAGUUAAAAUUCAUAAAUGAAUCCAAAUUUGUCAUAUUUUUUAUUUUUUAUAUUCAUAUCCGAAACUAUAUCUGUCCGAAACUAUAUCUGUUUAGUAUCAGAUAAAUCUGUUUCGUUUGGGUUCGGAUUUGGAUAAAAUUUCAGGUAUCCAUACCCAUGGACAUUUCCACUACUAUUUAAGAGAGAAAGGACACUGUUAAAUACAUGCUCUCUUAUUGGACAGUUUGAAGAGAGAAAUCUGUUAGUUAAAAAUAUGCUUAUCUCUGGUCCAUUAAAUCUACAGUUAUAAAUAUGCAUAUUUAUGAUGCAUGAUAUCAAAGAUAUGCAUAUCUAUAUCUUUGGAUAUCUCGAAUUAAUAAUUUUAAAUUAAAGUUGUGAAUUGCAAUGAUCUUCUGUAUAUAAAGGGGUUGGGGGGGUUAAGGGUGAGUGCCAUAGGAGUGAUCUCUUCUUUAUGGCUUCCAAACGGUCAUAUGAACUUUGUUUUCUGUUGCUUUGCCUUCACGCGACUUGUGAAAAACUCAACGGAAGGGAGAUAAUCAAUCAGAAAGGGGGAGAAUGGGAGCGGCUAAAUCGUCUCAUGGACCCUCCAAUCCACAAUACUCAAGUGCUUGAAUACUUAUUGCUUCCAAUGCUUUACAGUUUUUAUGAAACCGUUUAAUUUCGCAUCAUUUUCGAUAAUUAGACAUUCGAAUGAUGAUUUGCAUCAUGUACAUAUGAUUUAGGAUAUAUACUGUUUUCUUAGAAAAAUUAGAAUCAGUUGAAUUUUGGAUAAAAAAAAUCUAUCUAUGAUUUAGAUCAAGAUUUUUAUUGUCGAUCUUGAGUUUAAAAACCGGAUCCUUUAUUUUUAGUAGGUUGCUUUGAUUUGAUUGUUCAUUUUAUAACUGCUCGACAGACUUCAUUACAUAGACUCCGGCUUGUAUAUUUUUCAUAGCAUGAAGGUCUCCAUGCUAAUAAGUUAUUUUAGUGAUAAGACCUCCAAAUUGACAAUCAGCUGCGUGGGACACGAUCUAUCUUAUUGAAAGUAUUUGAAAGUCAAAUUUUAUAUUUUUUUUAACAUGCACCAUUUGACUAGUGAUCAAAAGGACUGAACUUUCUAUCAAAAAGAAUUUUAGUUGUUCAUCCAAGAAUUUUCUAUAAAAAUGAAUUUCAAUCGAUAGUUUUUGAAGACUUAUACGAGCCGUUUUCUUAUUUAAUAAUGUAGAACAAUUCAAACCGCUCAAAUUUUUCGAUCCUUUGAUCACUACAUAAAUAAUUUUUAAAAAUUAUAAAAUUUGGUUUCUAAAUACUUUAAAUACUCUAAAUAAUUUUAAUUGUUCCAAUCAUCGAUUCAAAAUCCCUAAAAAAUAACUUGAUUGGAUAAAGGACUCCAUAAUCCUAAAAGGAUAGUAGCUAGAUUUACAUAUACAUAUAUAUACAGAGUACGUCUCCUAUGCUUUCGAAAGCAUGAAGGCUUUCGUACUUGUAAGUUAUUUUUUAUGAUAGAAUAUUCGAUUCGAUGAUCAACUCUGUUAACCAUAAUCUACGUUAUUGGAACUAUCUAAAAAUUAAUUUUCAUAAUUUUUUGACAUUAUUUACUAAGUGAUCAAAAAGUCUAAAAAAUGACUAUUUUAACGAUCGAUGUAGCACGUUUUAAAGUUUAACAGUGUAAAACAAUCCAAAUUAUAUGAAACUUUAAUAAAAAAAUUUACUUAACAUUAAAGCAAGAUUAAUACUUCUGAUUUAAAAUUUAAGUCUUUUAUCACUAUUUUUUUAUGAGAUUUUCAUUUUCAGUUAUUCAUUUUAAGGCUAUUCGUUCACUAGGCAAUAAAGUCAAAAAAUUAUGAAAUUUGAUUUCUAAAUAGUUCAAUAACGUACGUAAAUCAUGUUUAACGGAACCAAUCACUGAAUAGGAUGUUUCAUUAUCGAAAAAAACUUAUAAGUACGGAGGCCUUCAUUAUUUCGAAAGUAUAGAAGCCUACUUCUCUCCUCUCUCUCUCUCUCUCUCUAUAUAUAUAUAUAUAGUUUGGCAACUAUACUCUUAUUAGCAUAAAGAGAUCUAUAUUUAUAAGAGUAUAGUAGCCCUAGUAUAUAUAUAUAUAUAUAUAUAUAUAUAUAUAUAUAUAUAUAUACAUANCUUUCUAAAGUUUUGUGCCUUAAAUUUCGUUGAAAAUAAUGUCCUUUAUAUCUAUUUCUUGCCUAACAUAAUCUAAUAUUUAUUUUAUGUGAUAAUACUUGCAUCAUAAGUGCGCAUCAUAUGCAUGCAGUACCUACCAUAAGCAAGUAAAGCAAUAAUUUAAUUUUUGUUUGCUUACAUUUCUACUGUUUAGAAAUAUAACUCAAAUUACAACAAGUAGCCACAUUAUAAACGUCUUUUCAUUAUGUGUUUCAAAAUAUUUUCUUGCCAUUUAAUGUAUAUAUAUAAUAUAUAUAUGCAUUUGUUUUUUUCUUGUUAAUUAUGAUAAAGACUAUCAUAUAUAUAAUUAAGAAAAAAAUAAUCUAAUUGUACAUCCUAAAAAUUUUAGGUUGUAAAUUUUUUCCCUCCGUCUUGACGUUCACAAACCCUUUUAGAUUUUUAAUAUUUACACUGGAACAAAUAUUGGCUGUUGCAUCAAAAGGUAUAAAAUUUGUACUCUUUUGGAGUCUGCAGGUAGCACUGCUCUAUAAUUAAGUCCUUUCUUAAUUAUGAGAAGACUACUGAAAGAAUACCUAACUAAUUUAUAUUUACAGUUUGGAGGCAGUCUGAAAGAAGUAGAUUCAGAUGAAAAACAUCAUUCCAAUGAGUCGGAAAGUAGUAAUCGAUCUGUACAUUUGAGAGAAGAGCCAAUUGCGCCUGAUCCGCCAGACUAUAUUCGUCAUGUAAUCAUUUUAAAAUUUUUCAUAGCUUAUAACAUUAAGAAGUUAAAAAAUGUGACACCCAAGUUCUAUACCGGAUGAGAAGGGAGUUGCAAUUGGAUAUAUAAGAGGCUAUGAAUUCUAAUAAUACUACGUAGGUUCAAAAAAUUUAGGCAGGUGGUUUAAACAUAACGAGUUAUUAUUUCUAGUGGGCUGAAUCAUUAUAAAAAAACUAUAAUUAUUUUGAAUUAAUUGCUUUAUUGUUUCUUUCUAUUAUGCAAUUUCAAGAUAUGAUUAUGAUUUUUGUACUAUUUAAUAAGCCGACCCACUAAUAAUAAUAACUUGUUAGAACCAAACCAACAGUCCAAAAUGCUUAAACUCAGUUAUAAUUAUUAUUAGGGUCUUUGUUCCUUAUGUAUUCAAGAAUAAUCCCUUUUUCCAUCAGAUUUGGAACUAUGAAAGCAAUACAACCACCACUCUUUUUCUCUCUCUCUCUCUCUCUCUCUAUAUAUAUAUAGGCUAGGGCUACUAUAUAUACUCUUAUUAAUAUAGACCCUUUGUACCCAUAAGUUUUCGACAGUUGGAUAAAGGAUGUGUGGUUGUGAUAAUAGUGGUUUCUAGUUAGGAUGAUAGUGGUCCCCUAGGGUUGAGUGGGUGGUUGGUUGCAUAGUAUGAUCUAAUUGGUGGAAAUGAUCAAAGGAAUAGAUCUAACGGCCGAAAAUUUAUAAGUANAUAUAUAUAUAUAUAGUGUAGGGCUAUUAUACUCUUAUAAAUAUAAAGCCCUUCGUACUUACAAGUUGUUUUCAAUAAUGAACCUUCCGAAUCGACGAUCCACUCUAUUAAAUAUGAUCUAAAGUAUUUAAAACUUCUAAAAAAUAAAUUUCGUAAUUUUUCGAAAUCAUAAUAAAGUCCAUCAAGCGGAUAUAAAAUGAACGGUCAAAAUCGAACGACGUCCUAAACAUGGAUGAUCGGAUCCUUCAAUUUAUGAUCAAAGUUAUUGAUCUUUAUCUAGAUAGUGAAUAAAAUUUUUUAUUAAAAGUUCAACCAAUUCUGAUUCUUUUACACUGUUGAACUAACAAAUAUCCCAUACCAGCCGUUAAGAAUUGUCAUUUUGAGAUCUUUUGAUCGCAUGGUAAAUGAUGUCAAAAAAUUCUAAAAAUUUAUUUUUAGAAGUUUUAAAUGCUUUAAAUAAUGUUUAACAGUAUGAAUCAUCGAUUCGGAAGCUCUAUCAUCAAAAAUGACUUAUGAGUACGAAGGCAAUUGUACUUAUAAAAGUAUAGUAACUGGACUCAUAUAUAUAUAUAUAUAUAUAAUUAGGCUACUAUACUAUCUAUAGUACCGGAGCUCCGGUACUAUAGUGUUGUUUUCGAUCUUAGGGCGUUCAAAUCAACGAUCCACACCGUUAAAUAUGAUCUAGGGUAAAUGAAGUUCUUAGGAAUAAAAUUUUAGUUUUUUUCGACAUCGUUUACUUAGUAAAUAAAUUAUGUAAAACUGGACCCGUGGAAAUAUGAAUACUAUUUAAAAUUUGACAUAAGACUUUUAAAUCACAAGAUCAAGAAAUGUUAACCUUAAUCAUAUAGUAUUAACAGUAUUUUCUAUCAAAAAUUUGAAAAAUUUAGAUCCUUCUACACUGUUAAACUCCAAACUCAGUCACUAAUAACCAUUGAAAAUGACAAUUUUUGAAAUUGUUUGGAUCUAAAGUAAACUAUGUCGAAAAAUUUAAUUUUAUUUUAACUUAAAAUCCUAGAUCAGUUUUAACGGUGUGGAUCGCUUGAUUUAAGCUCCGAAGUCAACGGAACUAUGUACGGAGCUCCGGGUACUAUAGCACUUUGUAUAAGUACCUAGCUCGUAUAAUUAUAUUUAUAUAUACUAUAGGUCGGCUACAUAUCCUAUUAAUGGAUAGGAAGCACUUGUCCCUUCAAGUCGUUUUGGAAUGAUUGGAAACUCAAAUUGAUAAUCCGCACGUUGAAAUUGAUCUACAACAAUUAGAAAUGUUUAGAAACCAAAUUUCUGUUAAUAUUGAAAAUUCAAUCAAGUUCAUCUUUAAGAGUUAAAAAAAUGAACCGGUCAUAAAUGACAUAACUUCUUAAAAUAGAGGUUAACUUUUCUAAUUCAUAAAUCAGAGUUAUCAAACAUUUAUCUAAAUAGUAUCUAAAGAAUUUCUAUCAAAAAAUUAAGGCAUUGGGAGUUGCUCUACACCGUCUAAACAAGCAAACGUCCUCAUAAAGGCCGUCAAAACAAUCUGUCAAUUUUUACGACCACUUGGAAUCACCAUGUAAAUAAUUUUUAAAAUUUAUGAAAUUAGUUUCUAGAUAUUUCAAAUACUCGUAGACUCAACGUUCAACGGCUGAUCAUCGAUUCGAGUUUUUCUACUCAGUCAAGAACAUUUUGAUGAUAGGACAAGUGCUUACUAUCCUAUUAAUAGGAUUAGUAGCCCUAGGCAUAUAUAUAUCAUAUCAUAUAUAUAUAUAUAUAUAUAGUAUAUAUUAUAUCUCUAUAAAGUAUAGUAUUAUUUGGUAGUGUGCUAAAGAUAUUUUAGAAGUAAUUUCAGCCUCUUUACUUCAGGUUUGGUAACUCUUUGGAUAAAGAUUGUUGUUUCGGCGGUGAAAAGUGGUCUCUCAGAGUUUAGUGAUGGUUGGUGCGAUAGUAUUAAGGUCAAAGGUUAGCAGUGACAAAUGGUGAUCCAAAGGUGAAAAAGCUUAGAAAUGAAACUGGAGAUAAUGCUACCAGAGCCCCAAAACAUUACUAGCUUAUAUAUAUAGUAUAGAGAGUGUUCAGUGUAGAAUAUUAACAGUAACAUAUUUUAACUUUUUCACCCUUUGGGAAUCAUUACUCUUACCUCCAAACGCCCAUCAGAUUCUAGGCAUCCAAUGGUCACAAAGUGGAUUAAUAUCCCAUACUAUUAAUAGCAUUUCAACACAACUCAUGUAUACUACUAUAGAGUCCGGCUACUAUUUCUUAUGAGUAUAGAUUCUUUGCACUUUCAUUAAGUUAUUCUGCCGUUAGAUCUAUCAAUUUGACCAUUUCCACCCAUUUAGAUAUAUAUAUUAACUAUUCAACUAAUACCCACUUCAUUAUGGGAAGCACUAUCGUCUUUCACUUGGCAACUACUAUUAUCUUAACUUCACAUUCCUUUAUCCACAUGGCCGAAACUUCAUAAAUGAAUAUAAAAGGGCUAUACUUAUAAACAAUAUUUAGCUGCUAUAUAGUACUAUAUAAUUAUAAUAUAAUUAUAGGUAUAUAUAUAUCAAUAUAAUAUAUAUAGUUCCGGCUAUUAUGCUAUUAAUAGCACGAAGCACUUGGUGCUACCAAAUUUUUCGCCGUUAGAUCUACCCUUUUGAUCAUUUUCACCCGUUAGAUCAUACUAUUCAACCAACCACCCACUCAACCCUAAGGGGCCCACAUCAUCCUAACCGUAUAUCUCUUAAUCCAAGGGCCAAAAACUUGAUAGCACCAAUGACUUGGUGCUAUUAAUAGCAUAGUAGCCUAGUUCUAUAUAUAUAUAUAUAUAUAUAUAUAUAUAUAUAUAGUUGAGCUAAAAUACUAUCGGUAGUAAACGAGCCGUUUCACUACCGAUUUGUUUUAGAAGUACCAACUCCUUGGUGCUUCUAGGUUUCUAACCCUUGGAUCUACUCCUUGAUUACUAAUAGCCUUUGGAUCAAAUACUAUUCCAUCUAUCACCACCUACCACCAUCAUUCCAACCCUAUAUCACUCCAUCCAAGGGCUACAAACCCAAAAGCACCAACACCUUGGUGCUUUUGGGAGUAUUUUAGCUCAACUAGAAGCAUAUAUACUUCUAACUUUAAAACCUUUGGAUCUCUAGAGUUUACUAGUUAGUGGCGAUAAUAGUAUAAGUUCAAGGGCCUAAAAGUUGGAAAUUGGUGCUUCCAAACGUAUAGUAGCUUUAUUAAUUUAUUUUGCCAAGUUCUAUACAGUAUUAUUGAUAAAUACAAGUGUAAUUUUAUUUAUUUAAUUUUUUUUUUGUAGUGGGCUUAUUAUUACGCAAAACCAGGCAAAUAUUAUGGUACAAGAGCAAAGAUAAAUCUAUGGGGCCACCCAAAUUUAAAAUAUUAUCAGAGAAGCACGACUACAAUGUGGGUUAUGAAUUUUAAUGGAAAAGCUAAUGUCAUAGAGGCAGGAUUUCAUGUAAGUAGUAAAAAUACUUCCAUGCAUAUAAAGUAACCUUCUAUUGCUCUCUAAUAAGCUCUCCAAAUGUUUUUUUUUCUUUUUUGAGAGAUAGGUAGCAUGCUAUCCGCUUCGUUUAUUUCAUUUAGAAAUAAACUUAGCUAGAAAUAUGAAUAAACUAGGAUUCAAACUUGGAUCUCGGAUACUAACCACCAAGCCCUUUGCCAUUUGCUAUAGGGACGGUCGGUAGCUCUCCAAAUGUUAAGUUGAAAUGAACAUGUGGUCCUCAACAUUGAAAAUACUUAAAUGAAAGACAAAUAUGAAAAGCGUCUUGUAAAUAUUCUGAGCUAAAAAUCUCUAUUUAUCGAAUCAAAGAUUAGAGAAACUUCAAUUUGGCCCCACCUCCUGUGCUUUAGUUCAUUUCCACUUUACUAUUUUAUUAUUUUAUUUUCACUUAUUACCAUAUGAUUCAAAAAGUUGUACUUAAAUACCUUGUGAUUUAGCUCAUUUUCAUUUUGCCGUGGUUGUUAAAAGAUUUUACAUAUUUUGUAUCUUAUUUUAUAGUAGAUUGUUUCGAUAAAAAUAAAGGUUUUUAUAGGAUCCUUAAGUGCAAACUCGUGAAUCACAGGGGGCAAAGUAAAAUGGGCUAAACUACAAUGGGCAAAUUGAUUUUACCCUAAGGUCAUAACUUUUGCAAUUUGCCCUCUUCAAUCAGUCUACCAAUUUUAAAUUAAUUUCUUAAAAACUAAACAAAAAUUAUUUAUUAAAUAAAAAGUUCCACAUUUUAUAAAAAGGGUAUGUUAAAAUAAAAAUAUUUUACUAUGGGACUUCUGUGCUUUUAAAAGUAUAUGAAUUUUUUAUAACUUUUUAACCAUUAGAUGUCUAAGAUUUAGUGGCAGCAAUAGUAAUAAAUCUAAUGGAUUUAUAAAAAGUUGAAGACGUCCACUAAUCAGGUACUUUUGAAUACACACAAUCUAAACUCAAUAUUUUAAGAAAGAAAAAAACUAAAAAUAAUUGAAAAAAAUAAUAAACGGUCCAUUGUGGCACUGCCCUACCAGAUGUUCCCCAAGCUAUGUGGUCCAAUGGGCUGGAUCCAAAUAUGUGUCAUGCCAUGCCGUGCCGUGCCGUGCCAGCCCGGUGCACAGUGCGCAUUGCAACCGUAGAUUGUUGGCGUAGGAUGGCGGUGCAGGUGGCAUUGGUUGGUAUAGAAAAGGAAAAACAAAACUUGUAGGUGGGCUUUUGGUUUUCUUUUUUUUUAUUCACUAAUAUUAAAAUUCUUUGCAGAUACAUCUAAUAAAUUAAGGGUAUAAAAGAAGGGAUUUUCUUUUAAAUAACAAGAGGACAAAGUGUAGAUUAUGCUAUUCACAUGGGUCUCAUUUUAAAUUCACUGAGUUUUUUCAGUUGUGAAUGAGUUCUGCUAGCUAGGUUUAUAACCAAAACAUAUUGCAUUUCUACAAACUAUCUCAUUUAAAAUCAAAUUUUAUAUACAAAUUGUAACCCUAGAAUCCUAAGUUAGAGGGAUUGUAGAGAUUGCAACUCCCUUUUUAAUUGUAAACUUCGCAUUUCUCUUCGCAAAGACUUACAUACCUUUGUUUUUCUUGAAACUAGUAUUAUUUCUAAUGAGAUGAAACUUUUCAAAUAUUUUUGCACAACAGGUAUAUCCCAGAUUAUAUAAUGACAGUAAGCUGCAUUUCUUCACAUAUUGGACUGUAAGUAUGAAUUUAUUUGUUAUUAGGCUAAAGAGCAUCAAUACUCCUCAAACUAUAAGGUGGGUGGUACUUCAGUUUACAAAUUUCAAUUUAUUCGCAUUUCUAUUUCAGACAUUUAUUAUUUAGCAGUAGUGCAUGAUAUUCACAUUAUUAGGAUCAGUGCAUCAUUAAGUGGCAUCCUACUUCGCAGCACAUCAACUCUAUGUCAUCGGAAAAACAAUUCUAUACAUAUUUGUUAGUGUUGUAACAUUUUAUAAUUAAUUAUCAAAAUUUAAUUUUUUAACAUAUGAGUUCAUGGUUAGUGAAGCUACAACUUCACUUUACUUGCAUUCAAUGUAAACUUUUAUAACCUAUAUAUUACCUACAUCAAAUGAGAUUAACGUUAGUAUAUUUACUUUUGUAAACUCUUAAGCCUUAACCUACAGCUUAAGCUUACACUAAAUGUUAUAUAAACUAUAUGGGUUUAAUACUCUCAUAACUUAUAGCUUGUGUAGCCUAUAUAGAGAGGGCUUCUCUAUUCACUUAAAAACAACUCAAGGACAACGAAAAGAAAAAUAAAAAGCUACUUCUAUUAUUGUCACACCCCAAUAAUCCCAUAUCGGAUAUGAAUGGAGAUGUGAUUGGGUAUAUAAGAGACUUAGACACUAAUAAUAAUAACUGAACUUAAGCAUUUUGGGCCAGUAUUUGAGCCUAACGAGUUAUUAUUGCUAGUGGCUAGGUCGUUACAUUUGUAUCAGAGCCAAUCACCGGUCGAAAAUGUGUGGCGAGUCUCGGCUGAGUCAGGGUCUGAAAGACAAGGUGAUAGACUAUGCCGAAAUUUGAAUGAUAAGGUGACCGGCUAUGCCAGGGUCUGGAUGACAAGGCUAGCGAGGCGAGUCUCACAUCGCUUGCUGAUCUUGGAGACGAGUCUCAUAUCGCCUGGUGAUCUUGGGUUGUGUAUGUGAUUGGACUAACGAGGACGUCAGGGCCUUAAUGGGAGGAGUCUGUCACACCCCAAUAAUCCCACAUCGGAUAUGAAGGGGAUGUGAUUGAGUAUAUAUAAGAGACUUAGACACUAAUAAUAAUAACUGGGCUUAAGCAUUUUGGGCCAAUGUUUGGGCCCAACGAAUUAGUUUUACUAGUGGGCUGGGUCGUUACAAUUAUACUUAUGAAAAAAAGAAGGUCAAAGAAUUAAAGGUGCUCUCUUGGUGGAGCUUUGGGCUCAUUUACUUGUGCAGAGUUGGUGAAGCCACACAACGAGAGUCGAGCCGUUGUAUCCUGGAGGGGACAAGCCAGUGUUCUGCUGCAUCAGUUUAAAGGCUUUGCCAACCGUAGAGGGCUUGAAUCUCCUUAAAGAGAGCGAGGUUUUCGUCGAUAUUUUUUAUAUUAUUUUGUAGCUAACCUCUAUUUUUUAAAUAUAUACACCAAUAAUUUUAAGGAGAUUUAAAGAUGGAGGCUACACGCGAAAAAUUCAACCAUACUGCCAGAGAUCUCAACAAGCCCUUCUACUUUAAUGGAAGCAACUUUAAGAGAUGGAAAAGAAAAGUGUUAUUAUAUCUCAAUCUACUUAAAAUUGCAAAUGUCCUCACGGAGAAGAAUCCAAAAAAACUAAUACUGAUGAUAUGAAUGAAGACGAACUUCUCGAACACUACAAGAAAACUGAAAAAUACAAGAAGGAUGAGUAUAACUAUUAGUAUUAUCUUCUCAACUGCCUUUCAGAUCAGUUUUAUGAUUAUUAUAAAAAUACUAACUCCUCCACAAAGAAGAUUUGGAUGGUAUUGUAGCUUCAGUAUGAUACAGAGCAAGCUGGUGCAAAGAAGUGCAUCGCUAGCCGCUUCUUUCGCUACCAAAUGUUGAAGGAAAGUCCGUGGUGGAACAAGUUCAAGACGUUCAGAUGAUCGCCCUCGGAGAUAACUUGAUUGUAUUAGAAAUCAUUGAUAAGUUACCACCAUCAUGGAGAGAAUUCCAAAAAACCCUUUGACAUAAGCAAAGGAAGAAGUCUCUCGAGACAUUAAUUGCACGCAUUCGCGUGGAAGAGGAGGCAAGAGGCCAAGAUGCACUUGAAGCAAAAGAGAAUGAUACUAUCACCACUAAGGUAAACUUAGUAUCUUCUAAUUCUUUACCUAAUAACAAUCGUUGUAGAAAUACAUACUUGAAGCCUAAGAAGAAAAUUGGAAAGAAUAGUAGUAGACCUCAACACAAGCAAAAUAACCAACGACCUUCUUCUCAUAUGAAAAAUAUAGUUUGCUAUGUCUAUGGCGAAAGUGGCCAUAUUGCUCAAAUUUGCAAAGUUCAGAAACAUAAAGUUUUAUCUCAAGCUAAUGUUACUGAUGAGCCACAUGUGGUGAUGAUAAUAGACAUAUGUUUAGUGGAGAAUGCUGAAGGAUUGUGAGCAGACUCUGGUGCCAACAAACAUGUCUGUUAUGAUGAAGCUUGGUUUAAAACAUAUAUUUUCUAUAAACAACAAAGAAGUAUUAUGUUUGGUGAUUCACAUACUUCUGAAGUUUUAGGGUGUGGUGAUGUUGAGUUAAAAUUUUCUUCUAGAAGGAUACUUAUCGUGAAAAUGUGUUAUAUACACCCUCGAUUAGGAAGAACUUGAUGUCAAGUUUUCUUCUUAAUAAAAUUGGCUUCAAACAGACCAUUGAAUCUGAUCAGUAUGUGAUUUCCAAAAAUGAAAAGUUUGUAGUUAAAGAUUAUGCAUGUGACGGAAUGUUUAAACUAAACAUUGAGAAUAAAGCAUCAACUACUUCUGCUUACAUACUUUUUUCUAUGAAUUUUGGCAAAUCGAUCGUUUUUGUCAUAUUAAUAACAGAUAUGUUAACUUGAUGAGUAAUUUAGGAUUAAUUUCCAAAUUGAAUAGUGAUUUUGACAAAUGUGACACAUGUAGUAAGUCAAAAAUCACUAAACGAUCUAAUAAGAGUAUUGAAAGAAGCACCGAAUUACUUGAGCUAAUUUGCAUUAAUAUUUGUGAAUUUAAAGGUAUUCAAACUCGUGGAGAAAAUAGAUAUUUUAUCACUUUUAUCGAUGACUUUUCUAAAUAUACUUAUAUUUAUUUAUUAAAAAAUAAAAGUGAUACUUUUGACAAAUUUAAAGAUUUCCUCCAUAAAGUAGGAAAUCAAUUCGGUAAAAAGAUUAAGAGAAUUAGAAGUGAUCGAGGUCGUGAGUAUGAAUUUAUGGGAUUCAACUCUUUUAUUUAGUCUUUAGGAAUUAUCCAUGAAACUACUGCUCCAUGUUCACCUGUCUCUAAUGAAGUGGCUGCGAGAAAAAACAGAAUACUUAUUAAGCUAACAAAUGCUAUGAUAGGUGACACUCGUGUAUCCUUAAAUGUCACGCCCCGGGGUCCCUAUUUGAUUUAAAAGCAAUGCGGAAGUGCCUAAUUUUUUUUUUUUGAAAACCUGACCCCCAGGUUAUGCCAGAUCCGCCACAAACAUAGAGAGUCCACUGUUCACAUAGACAGAAUCUCUCCUGUAUUUGCACGACGUCACACAAGUACAAGAUGCAUAAUUCGCAAUACAUGAUACAACCACCACAAAUGAACAUCUACAGAUAAUCAUACACCAUUCACCAUCACAUCCACAACCAGAGUUAUUUAUAAAUCCACAACUAUUAGUUUAAAAUGUUUCCAAGCCAAAAACUCGUUUUAACACACUAAAUCAUGAAAACCGAGAAAACUGUUUUAAAAACCGUUUCCCACACAAAAACCUUUUCCUUUUAAAACUCGCUAUCACGAGGGGUAGAAAACCAUUUUCAUUUCGCAAGAAUCCAAAUUCUUUAUUACAUUAAUGAAAACCUAAAUAUUCGAUUCACAUAAAAGUACUGAACCAUAAUUGCAGUCUAAGUUAUUUAUUUAAAGAAACUGAGUUUAGAGUUUAAACUAAUGGACGGGUCCGUAAGCUCUACCGAACCGCUACGUACGCUUCUCGCGAAUCGUCCCACUAGGACCUGCGACGUCAUCUGUAAUGGGGGUGGAGGGUGAGAACAUGUAAACAUGUCUCCCCUCCCAGUGGGUACCGCAAGCCGAUGAGGGCGAGGGGUACUCACCAGUCAAGGAGAAUAUCAAAGGUAUUGGUAAGUGUAAACAGUAGCAACGAUAAUACUGAAACGAGAUGUAUAAAUGAAUACUACUGCUACCGUAUGAAUGCAUCAACCGGACGACAAGUCCAAAGUACCCAAUCUGAAAUAGCCAUAUUGGUCCGCACACCUCAGACCUGUGCCACAACUGCUCAACCUAUACAUGACCCGUGCAAAAAGCACCUGGGUCUGAAAGGUAUAUGACCCUCGCAUAAAGCACCCAGGUCUGAAAGCAUAUAACCCUCGCAUAAAGCACCCGGGCUCACGGGCUGGCACUCCCAACCAGUUUUUCGGAAAAGAACACCCUCUUGCGGUGGAUCAGACCGCAGGUGUUCGUGAAAUGCGUACGAGCAGUGGCGAUCGAUGCUGAAUGUUCAAUAACCAACCGUCGACAAUUAGCCGACAAUCUUGCCCCUCAGGGCACACCGACCAUAUAGGUCGUCAAAUAGUCCAACCGACCAAGUAGGUCAUGAUAACAAUGUAACAAGCCGACCAAAUAGGUCACAGAUACAAGAUACGAGAACCGACCAACCAGGUCACAGAUAUCAUAUGUAGAUAAAUCUACUCUACUCCUACUCAUGAUACUAGACAUGAAAACAACCGAGUAGAGUAUAACGGAAACAACAUGGGUGUAAGGCUCAAUAUAUAAUAUGCAAUAUAAACAACAAGGAGUGAAAGGAAUGUCACCGAGCGUGCACCACUGUACCGUCUUCGGGUCGAAGUACCCACCUAUACAAAUACGGUACUGGCUUUCCAACUACGGAGGAAGCAACAACCGGACCUACGAAGGUUCCACCGGGUUAGAAUCCAACCCACGACUACAAAACAGUAACUCACAAUCCCCACCAAUAACCUUACGGGAAUCAGUUUCCCAAAACCGAUUGCCGAACACGCCGGAAGUACUGAAAAUCACACCGGGACUCCGCCGGGACCCAUGAACUGUCCCGAAACUCACCGACUCGCUCUACGAGUCACCCGCUGCCAUCAAACACGUAUAAUUGUGUGACUUGGCAGCAAGUACACCACCUCACAUCGUAACGAUUAUCGUCAGAUAAUCGUUCCGAUCCGGAUUCCCCGAAGUGUCCAAUUCGACACCGGAACCCACUGUCGCUCACCCGUCAUUUCCGAACCUUUGAAACGAUGCAAGUGACCAGCCAACAAGGCUCAGUGACAACACAAAUCAACGUGAGGCACCGUCGGAAGAAUUUCGAAUCGAAAACGCGUUCCGUUGGCGGAUUUUGCCGACAAAUGCACUGAAAAUUAAUUUUCGAUUUUCGAAAAGGCUUAGGGCCUUGGACAACCAGUCCAGACGUUACCCGCUGCCCAAACAUGCUGCCAAUAGCAACCACAAUUUAAACAAUUGCAUAAAAAUCCUCGCGACUACAUAAAAUUACAUUAUUUUAUGUGAUUUUCGGGGUUUUACGGCCCGACAACACAAACCGAGGACCCUCAAGCCUGGCCGAGGCACCCGCUGACAGGUCUCAAUGUGCUGGAGGCCGUGCUCACACUUCGGAGCACUGCCGGCCACUGUGGCAGGCGCACGAGCGAUGCGAACUUCAGCGAAAAGCGCGCACAAUGCUUAAAUCGCGUCUAUCGUGCAAACUGGGGCAUCGUUGACCCCGACGGAGGUGGGCACGAUGUUCGGCAUGGAUCAGAUAUCAUCGUGCUCACUUCCAGAAUUAUCGGGGUGUCUCCGAAUCGCCGGAAAGGUGACUGGAACCCCAAACAGUGCACAGAAAACAUAAAUUAAUGCUUACCGGACCAGUAGGAGCACAGGUUGGCCAACGGCAGCCGGACGGCAGGCACGCCGGCAGGGGACGGGUGCGGCCGGUCAGUGGGGUCGAGGGCAGGUGCUAGCCGGCAGUGGGAGGCAGCCGGUGGCGCGGCGGAGGAGAUCAAGCCCGCACAACCAAGCUCGGUGCAAGGAAACAACGACGGCCAGGCAGCAGUCGGAGGAGCCUCGGGGCGAUGGCGGCCGGUCGCCGGAGGUCGAGGGAGGGCGGUGCGACUGGAAGUGGGCGGCGGCGACGCGCGGUGGCCGAGGUGACUCAGCCUCGGCCUUCUUUGAGUCUGGGCAGCCGCAGGGAGCAUUAGUGGUGGCCAGCGGCCACGGGGACGUCGGGGGCGAUGAGCGGAGGGUCGCCGGAGACCCAGGAGGGCGGCGCGACCGAUCUAAAGUGGCGACGGUGCGCGGGCCACGAGUUCACCCGAGUUUCGUCUGGGCUAACCGCGGGUCGCCGCGGAUCUCCCAGGCGACGCCGGCUGAGCGCGUGGACGGCGGGGCCCGGCGGGGAUAAUGCCGGAGAUCGGUCUCGGCCAGGGGACGAAGGCCCGACACGAUGGAUUGACUCCCAAUGAGCUAUAGCUGAAGUGGGUGGCGGCUAGGUGGAAGGGAAGAUGGAUGAAAGGCCGAGCUCGGGUUUUCCGGAUGCCGGGACACUUGCCGACUGCCGGGGUGUGCGCACGGCUAGGGCAAGGGCCAGCUGACGACGGCUAGGGCUGAGCUCGGCUGAGGAGUCAUCUAGGGUUAGGGUUAGCAUGGAACCCUAAUUUAGCUUUUAUAUAAGUUGGUAAAAAUGCGAUUUAGCCCUCCAAAUUUGAUUAUUUUCAGCUAAGUCCCUGCCAGCGCGUGUAAGAUGAGCGUACGCCCCUCGACGUUCAAAUUUACGCAAAACAGUACAUAAAAUAUUGGGAUUUUCUCAUAUUUUCCAUUUUGCCAAUUUUUGACCUCUCAGCGAAUAAUUCACGAUUCCCGAAGAUCCGUCCGUCGGAUUUCCGAUCGGAUCGUACCAGCGCGUUCAGCACGACUGGGGCAUCGAAUCUACUAUUUCGUUUCGUCCGAUUUAGUCGCCGAUUUGCGACGAAACCAACCCUCUUUACAUUUCACCAACAUUUAUACAUAUAAACACAUAUACUUUAAAUUUUCAAAUUCAAAAAUCCAAAUUUCUUUAUUAAAAAAAAUCUCGGAUAUUACAUUAAACCUUUGGGGUGAAGCCAUUUUAACUGCAUGUUAUGUCUUGAAUCACGUGCUAUUUAAGAAGUCUAAGGUGACACCUUUUGAAUUGUGGAAAGAGUAUAAGCCAAAUUUGAGAUAUCUUAAAGUGUGGGGUUGUCUAGCAUUGUGAGGCUACCGGACUCUAAAAAAUCCAAAUUGGAUGUUAGACCUGUCAUUUGUGUAUUUCUUGGAUAUACUUUGAACAAUAUAGCUUAUAGAUUUUUAGACAUUGAAAAUAAUGUGAUUUUUGAAUCAAAAGAUGCUAUUUUUUAUGAAAACAAGUUUCCUUGUAAAUCAAAAAAUAGUGAGGGUCAAGAUUUUAAAAGUGUUUCAAAUAAAUUGUGUUCUUCAAACUCUUUUUACAAAAUCAGGAACAACAUAUUUUGAACCUAGAAUAAACAAACAAAAAAAAAUAGAAAAAAAUUUUGGCCCUGAUUAUGUUGUUAUGAAUAUUAAAGAAAAUUCACUUUUUUUUACAAGAAGCUUUAUAUUCAAAUGAUACAAUUUUUUGGAAAGAGGUUGUAUCUGAUGAGAUGAAAUCUUUAAUUUCUAAUAAAAACGAAAAUUAGUGGAUUUACCUACAGGCUGUACAACAAUUGGUUGAAAAUGGGUCCUCAGAAAGAAAUUAAAAUCGGGUAGGAGUGUAGACAAGUAUAAAGCAAGACUUGUCGCAAAAGGUUAUAAAUAAAAAGAAGAUCUAGACUUCCUUAAUACCUUUUCUCCGAUUACUAGAGUAACAUCCAUCAGAGUUCUGAUUGCUAUUGUUGUAUUUCAUGGUUUACAAAUUCAUUAGAUGGAUAUAAAAACCGCUUUUCUGAAUGGUGAUCUAGAUAAGAAAAUUUUUAUGGACCAACCUGAGGGGUUAUUGAGCCUCAACAAAAAAAUAAAGUGUACAACCUGAGGGGUUCAUUAAGGCAAGCACCCAAACAGCGGCAUGAAAAACUUGAUUUUUGCAUAAUUGAGAAUGACUUUAAAUUAAACGAGUGUGAUAAGUGCAUCUAUUACAAAACUUUUAAAAAAUUACAUGUUAUUGUUAGCCUUUAUGUGGAUGAUUUGCUAAUUUAUGUCUCUAACUUAAAUGUUAUCUAUGAGACAAAGAUUAUGCUAAAUCAUUAUUUUGAAAUGAAGAAUCUUACUAAGGCUAAAUUUAUUUUGGGUAUGAAAAUUACCAAAACACCAGAUAGAAUCUUUCUUGAUCAGUCACAUUAUAUCAAGAAAAUUUUAAGAAAGUAUAACUUUUUUCAUUACAAGCAUGUGACUAUACCUUUUGAUUCGAGUGUUCACUUAUUUCCUAUUAAAAGUGAAAGUGAAAUUUUGAAUCAAAAGGAAUAUGCUAGUAAGAUUGGAAGCUUGCGGUUUGCGACUGAUUGUAUGAGACCUAAUAUUGCAUAUACAAUAGGGAUACUUAGUAGAUUUACAAGCAAGCUUGGUAUACAGCAUUGGCAUGCCAUGAAACGUAUGAUGAGAUAUCUCGUUGGUAUCAAAACUUAUGGCUUUUUUUUAUGGGAAGUAUCCUGCUGUAAUUGAGAGUUACAGUGAUGCUGACUGGAAUACCCUAUCAGGUGAUUCUCUCUCUACCACUGGUUAUAUUUUUACUGUAGCAGGUGGUGAUAUAUGUUGGAAAUCUAAAAAACUAACUAUCAUUGCUAACUCAACUGUGGAAGCAGAGUUUAUUGCCUUAGCUUCAGUUAGGGAGGAAGCUAGUUGGUUGAGAGAUUUAUUGUCUGAGAUUCCAUCUAUGUUAAUACAUUGUGAUAGCACUACUGCUAUUAGUAGAGUAAAAUUCGCUAUUAUAAUAGUAAAUUCAGAUCCAUGAGAAGAAAACACGGUACUGUGAGAUCAUAUAUGAACAAUGGUGUUACCAGCGUAGAUUAUAUUAAAUCUACUGAUAAUCUGGCAUAUCCACUGAUAAUCUGGCAUAUCCAUUAACCAAUAUCUUGGGAAAAGAAAGGAUCAGGAGCACAUCGAGGGGGAUAGAGUUGAAGCCUAUAAAAUCAUGAACCACGUAUGAGGAUACCCAAUCCGAUGAUCAGAGAUCCUGAAAAUUGGGUUCAGUGGGAAAAAGGAAUCAUAUGGUGGUCGUAAAGAAUGCACAAUAUAUAGAUCUAUAUGAUCGCAUCUUUAUAUAUCCCUAUGGUGUGGAUGCAUUCAUCCUGUAAUGAAAAGAGGGUUGAGUUUUUGCUCUUAAUGAAAUCUGUGGCUCUUAUGAUGUCAGAAUUAUAGGAACACCUUUGAUGGAUUUCACCUAUGUGAGCAUGGAAGUGAGGUCACUUCCUAUGAGAAUGGGCUUAUUCUCAAAUAUGCUAAUGAAAACUAGGAUCAGCACAAGGUCAUAACGUGCUAGAUAGUAAAACUCAUGUCAACACCUAGAUUAUUAUAUGUGAGCAGUGACUCUCUAUUUUUCCUAAGUAGCCAAAGUUCAUGAGACCACUCUGGCUCUAGAGUAGAGAUUAUUGUUUUACUAAGUGAAUGUUCAAUGCAGAGCAUACUGUCAUUAUGUAUAACAGUCCUUCUUUGGUCAUCAAACUCUCAUAUAUUUUUAAUAAAAUGAGUGGGGGAAUGUUGUAACAUUUAUUAUUAAUUAUGAAAAUUUAAUUUUGACUAAAUUACAAAACCCCCUUGUCAAUACUUGCUUUUUCACUCCCCCCCUAUCAUUCAAAAACCUACAGUUUGCCCUAUUGAAAAAUGAAAAAUGUUUCACUUCGGCCCCCGCCGUCAGUGUUCCGUUAGGGUUUCAUUUAUAUCUUAUUUUUUAUAUCUAAAAUACCCAUGAAGACCUUAUCCAUGCUCACACACAUACCCUCGGCCGCCGCCUCGCCCUCGCCCACCCCUCUGUUUAUACCCAGACACAUGCCGUCGCCCUCCAUUGCCCCCUUACCCUUGCCCUCGCCCACCUCUCCGCCCAUGCCCACCACGAUCUCCUCCCUACAAUCGCCGAAUAAAGGGACGGCGAGUGUCAUGCCCUGGGGUCCUUUUGUAAAGCCUUUUUGAAUAAAAGGGGCCAGUUUGAAAUAAAGUCAGCAAAAAGUGCCUAUAUAUAUAUAUUUUUAAUUACAACUUGUCCCUAAGAUGUAACAGACCCGCCACAGAUAUAGAAAUCUCCUUGUCCAUGCUGGCGAAGUUUUUUCUGUAUUUGCAUGGCGUAUCGAUACAACAUACACAACAACACACACACCCACUCACACAAACAACAUACACAAUGCAGAUGUCAGAUAACCAUUCAGCUAACCAUCCUUAUGAUGAUGCAUGCUCUAAACACUCCUUAGGCGAAGGAUGAUGCUAAUGCACAUAUAUCAAUCAAUUCUAUUCUUUAAAAGUAUUUUCUACCCGAAAACUAUAUUUAAAAACACUAAGUAUCGAUAAAUCCAAAAGUCAUUUGAAAAUUGUUUCUCACAUGGAAACUCACUUUCGAAAAGCCAGCUACCACGAGGGGUAAAAAACUACGUACGAUAAAACCAUCAACUACAUGCCUCAGAUAAACCACAAUUAUCACGUUGAAUUAUUGAGAAUCAUCAAGCAUUCACAAUACUCAUAUACCACCAAGUUCGGCAAUCAAACAAGCAAAUAACGGAGCCACAUAAACUCUAGUUUAUUAACGAACAUGAAGAGAAGAGUCAAGACAGAACAACCGUAACUGAAUGAUGACUGGUCGGAACCUCUAUAGCUCCCUAGCUAUCGUGCCUCACACACAGUCCCGAUUCCCACCACCGAGAUCACCUGAAAAAUGGUGGGGGUGAGAACAUGUAAACAUGUCUCCCUUCCUAGUGGGUAUCGCAAGCCGACGAAGGCGAGGCAUACUCACCGGCAAAGGAGGAAUAAUAGAUAGAUAUGUAUAUAUUAAGUACAGUAGCGAACAAUGGAAAACAGGUAUAAACGUGUAUGAAUAAACACUGAUACUGCAAAUAAUGAACAUAUACAUCAACUGUAAAUAAACCAAAAACCCAAUCGCUUUGCCCUAUAGAUCCGAAGAUCGCAGGCAAUGUCACCGUAUGCUCACCCACCAGGCACACAACCUCCGCAAGCACUUGGCAAGAGGCUCAUGGGUUGAGAAGACGACUACUUUUUUAAAAAAGAACAACCCCACGGUGGCCAAACCACUGGUGUACGUAAAGUGCUAAAUGAGUUGUGACGAUCGAUGCGAAAUGCUCAAUCCACAGGACGACAACAAGCCGAGAAUAGCAACAACUAACACAUGUCCAAGAGAUUGCUCGGAUCGUCGAGCCGAUCAACACUGACCAAUCAAGUCUCACCGUAAGAUCAUGCAAGAUACACCACAUCACUCUGCUAAUAUCAUAUGCAGGGAUGAAAGUAGGGAACAAUAACUGGACGUCGAGUGGAAUCACGCUUAUCCAUAACAUGCAAGGAGAAGGGAAAAGAGAAAUAUCAUCGAGCUAGUUCACUAUACCAACUUCGAAUCGAAGCACCCACCUGAACUGGAGAAGAGCCUAACUCCCAAGGCUCGCACGAAUGUCGACUGGACCUACGAAAAACCCACCAAGUCAUUGUCCAUCGAGUCGACUCGAAAACACUAAACUCACAAUCCUGAAAUCGUCGGAAUUUUCAAAAAGUCCACCGGAAUGAUUCCGAACUCAAGGAAAUACCCGGGAAAGUACCACUAAGCAACCCAAGUCAUCCGCUGUCCGUAAACACACCAAUUUAGGUGGUCGGAUUCCAGGGUGCAUAAAACAUAAACAAACCCAUAAUGACAUUUCGGGUUCCCGAAAAUGCCGUUUUCGGCAUCGGAACCCUCCGUCGCUCAUUUGUUGUCUCCGAAACUUUGGGACAGCAAGGAAAACUAGCCAACAAGGCUCAGUGACAAAACUAGGGCAUCAACAACUCCACAAAGUGAGUCCCACAUCGAUAAACACGUUCCGCCAACAAUUUCAUCGAAAAAAUGCUCCGAAACACGAUUCGAUCUUGCGAGACCAUCGAGGACUUGGACAAUCAGUUUAGAGGGUCACACGAGGUGGUCUCACACUGUCCGAGGCAGCCCAUGCUGUCACUAUUGCAUGGAAGCCCUCAAAUAAUACAUAAAUAGCAUAAACUCAUGAAUUUACACACUAAAAAGGCAACAUCACCGGUAUCGCGUGAUUUCGAGAUCAACCAAGGGCACCAAUAGCAAGGUCUCAUCAAAGUGAAGCCCAUGCUCCCUAUCUGAGUCAUCAAAAAUAGUCACGGAGCACUUCGAGCCCAUAGAAAAUGCUAGAAUAUAAGGCCCAAUGGAGCGACAUCGUCGAAACAGCGAAAUGAGGCCUUCCUGACAGAAACCGAGGUGAGCACGAUGAUCAGUGAUGAGUCAAGAUCAUCGUGCUCUCUUUCUUGAAGAUCGAGACCCGGGUUACUCGAAAUAGUGAACAACCCAAGAAAUGCCCCAUUUCAGGCUUGGCCGGAGCAAGCUUCCUCCGGCCGGUUGCUUGCGGCACGGCAAUGCGCGCGCAUGCCAGGGAUAGAUGCGGGGAAGGUGAGGAACACCGUGCUCACCUUGCCAGCGGCGGGGAGUGGCGGCGACGGCGCUGGAAGCAAGUGCGGCCAACCCGGGUCUAGGUCUCUGGCUCGAUGGCUCCUCCCAGCGAUGGCGACGGUCAGGACAGGUUGGGGACGAUGGCGGCGGGUCCCCUGAGGCUAGAGAGAGGUGGCGGCGUCGGCUAACGGCGGGGCUGCGGCGGCGGCGCUUCAAGGAUGCUCGGCCGCCACUGCCACUGAUAAUGCCAACUAGCAAAGCAGCGGCUACGGCGCUUUCGGGCAACACGGGGAUGGCCAGGGAGGUCUUCGGAGGUUCAAAAGGUGGGGAAGAGGAAGGUCUACCCGAGCACAACUCCCCUGGUAGCCUCAGGUCCAGAGAGAGAGAGAUGGAAAGAGAGAGCUUGAGGGAGAGAGAGAGGGAGGUGGCAGCAGGUUUGGCCGGCCGGAGAGGGUCGUCGGUGGCCAGGGGGGCGCGCGGCCCCUCACAAAGGGAGGUGGGAUAUGACUAGGGUUAGGUGGCUGAGGAGAGGGGAGCUAGGGUUAGGGUUUCAUCAUGUGAAACCCUAGAUGCCAACUUAAUAGCAUUCGAACAAUUACGAAAAACCCCUCGAAACCUCGACCAAUUAAUCCAAGCCCUUCACCAUUCGCAUAAAACGCGUCAACACCCCUCCACGAGGAAUCCCUCACGAAACGAUACAUAAAAUAUAAGGUAUUUUACGAAAAAUACUUGUUUCGCAAAAUCGUCCCAUCCCCGAUAAAUGCACUAUUUCGGACGAUCGGUUCGUCGGGCAUACGAACAGAUCGCACCAGCGCUUCUGGCAUUGCCAGGCCAUCAAACCCACGAUUUUGUUUCAUCAGAAACGGUCGCCGAUUCGCGACAAAUCGAACCCUCUUCCAGCCCUUCAAAAACAACUUAUAUAUAUAUAUCUAUAUAUAUAUACAUAUAUGUAUAUGUAUAUGCAUAUACAUAUAUGUAUGUAUAUGUAUAUACAUAUAUGUAUAUGUAUAUGUAUAUAAAUAUGUAUAUACAUAUACAUAUAUACAUAUACAUAUACAUAUACAUAUACAUAUAUGUAUAUGUAUAUGUAUAUACAUAUAUGUAUAUGUAUAUACNCAUUUUACAAGCUGAUUUUGUGGCUGUCAUUAAGCUAGAAAAGCAGUAAUGUAUCACCACACUAUUUCGACUACCACUAUGUUUUCUUGGAUUUGCGAUAUAAGUGGGCUCCAUUUUGUCAAAAUUGACGAACUAAUUUAUAUAUUCAUAUUAUAUUAUUUAGCCUAUGAGAUGAACUGUUGAUAUAGUUGAGAUAAAUAGUGAUAUUUUGACACUUAUCAGUAGAGUAAAUUGAAAUAUAUAUAUAUAUAUAUAUAUAUAUAUAUAUAUAUAGGGAAAACUUCAAAAACCCCCCCUGUGGUUUCGUUGUUUCUCACUUUGCCCCCCUGUGGUUUAAAGUGUAUCAAUUUGUCCCCCUGUGGUUUUGUUUUUAUCUUUUCGGUAGCUUUUUCGUUAAUAUUUUGUUAAAUUAUAUACAAAAAACUUCAGAUACCCAUUUUGAUUUAUCAAAUAUUCACUUUAGUACCUUUAAUUUUAACUUUAUUACUGAUUUAAGGAAAAAAAAAUAAUGAAAUUGAUAAGAAAAAGAGAAAAAUAAAACCACAGGGGGGCAAAUUGAUACAUUUUAAACCACAGGGGGGCAAAGUGAGACACUACGAAACCACAGGGGGGGUUUUUGAA